rnacentral:lncRNA from 1 species
UUUUUUGUAGUGUAUACUCCAUGAUAGCCCUCCUCGGUAACUCAACACUAGAAAAUGUCUGGCCCACUUGGACUCUGGUUUAGACAGGUCCUCUUCUCUGAAACAUUUGAAAUUCAGCUUAACCUUAUCGUCAUCAGAGGAAGGCAAGCACAUGUCCACAUCUUCAUUAGGAUCAUCAGCUUCUUCUUGGACUGCUUUACCUUUGCCUUUCUCACAAUCAACAUUUUUGUCAAACAAGUCAUCAUCAUCUUGUAGAUCAAUGUCUGAAUCAACAAUUUGUGGAAUGAAAUCUUCAUCUGAAUCCUCCACUACUGAACAACCAAUUGUAUCUGCUGCAUCCAUGUUUAAAACCCUAUAGCUUUUUCUUCUGCCCCUGAACUCAAACUUAAAUGUAUGCAUGUACUCUCCUGGUUGAGGUGGUCCUGGCAUGUAAUCCUCUUCUUCUGAAUCUUCCUCACUUUCUGAUAGUGCAUCUUCAACUAGACCUGGCUCAGCCUCAUGAUCUGGAUCUUGCUCAGCCUACUCCUGUGCCACUACAACUUGCUCAACAUUGUCCUCUUGUUGUUCAUCUUGAUCUUGCUCAACCUGCUCCUGUGCCACUACAACUUGCUCAACAUGGUCCUCUUGCUCUUCAUCUUGAUCAUGCACUUGCUCUUUCUUUGGCCUACUUCCACUGAACUUGGCAAAUGGAGGAUCCUCAUCAUCAGAAUGAACAAGAAUAGGUGAAAUAUAUGAUCUCAUGCUCUCAUCAUGAUCAAGAAAUAUUUGCUGAAAAUGGUUCCCAUUCAGAGCACAAUCCUUCAUGUUCUCUGUCAUAGUGUUGUCCCCUAUCUUAAUCUCUCUUAAUCCAUUCUUAUACACUGCCAACCCAGGAACACACCAGUAAGCUCUGAUCCUGCCCUCAAACUCAUACCCAAUUUCCUCAACUAGACUAGCAACAACAGCAGGGGUCCAGUUAUCUAUGUCACAGUAGUCAUACCAAAUGGAGUGGCCUUCAUGGUAAUACCUAUGCUUGCUUGCACAAAGGAAAUAGCCACCAUGUAUGACCUCAACAAAGAAGUGGUUGCUUAGGGGUCCUGCAAAACAUUCAAAGUGGCAAUGUUCAAACAAGAUAUAGUCACCAAACUGAAAAUGUUCAGACAAUGUUUAGUCAAGCUGAAAAUGUUUAGUUAACUCCAAAAGUUUAGUUAUUGUAUCAAACCACUAGUAGCUCAAUUUACUGAGUAAGCAAGACCUAAUCAAGGGUACUAAGCAAGCAGUAAAGAAUGUAAUUGGACCAAAACAAGCAAUGUGGCAAUGCUCAGUGUCAAUGCUCAGUUAUUGUACUAUAUCAAGUUCACACAUUUCAAUAUUCAGACAGGUUCACACAUAAAAAUUAAAUUAUCUUACAGAGCAAAAUUCAUACAUGUGGCAGAAAAAAAGCACUGAUUCAUGGCCUCCACUACACAAAUAUAUGAUCUUUCAUGGGCAAAACGAUCAUCUCAUGGGCAAAACAUGAACAUGAUCAACAACUAGGCCAUAUAAAGCAAAGAGACAGGGGAGAAGCGAGCAUGGCCUUCCCCCUAACAUAUCCAAAAUCAAACCCUAAUUUUGCUCUGCAAACCAUAGAUCAUCUCCAAACACAACAUCCAUAGCCCAUACGAAACCCUAACUGUCAUUUGUGGCCCUGUUCAACGUCCACUGCUAAAACCCUAAACCUUACACCAUCCAUGGCAAAAGGGGAGAGAAAUAGCACAAACCCUAGAACCCAUGCGCAAUUGACUCGAAUGUGAACUCUUUCCCGGAGCUAGAAUGGACAGAUUGACUACACAACAUGUCGGCGACGGUGACGUACCAUAGAGGGGCGGUGAGGCAUGGUCCUGACGACGCGUCGGUACGAGAGGGGCGUCACGCAGGCCCCUCUCGAAUGGCACGGAUGGCAGUGGCUCAGCGUCCGACGACGAGCUCAUGGGGCCGUCGCCGCACUCGCACACGUCGGCGACCUCAAGGCAACCACCUCGGCAGUUGCUAUGUCUUGAGCUUGCAUUGGUUUUCCUUGAAGAGGAAAGGGUGAUGCAGUGAUAGUAGCGUAAGUAUUUCCCUCUAUUUUUUAGAACCAAGGUAUCAAUCUAGUAGGAGGCUCCUCAAAAGUCCCACGCACCUACACAAACAAACAGGAACCUCGCAACCAACGCAAUAAAGGGGUUCUCAAUCCCUUCACGGCCACUUGCGAAAGUGAGAUCUAAUAGAGAUAAUAUGAUAAGAUAUAUUUUUUGGUAUUUUUAUGAUAUAGAUUGGAAAGUAAAAGAUGCAAAUAAAAGAUAGAUGAAAACUUAUAUGAUAAAGGAUAGACCCGGGGGCCAUAGGUUUCACUAGUGGCUUCUCUCAAGAUAGCAUAAGUAUUACGGUGGGUGAACGAAUUACUAUCGAGCAAUUGAUAUAAAAGCGCAUAGUUAUGAGAUUAUCUAGGCAUGAUCAUGUAUAUAGGCAUCACGUCCGUGACAAGUAGAUCGACUCCUCCUGCAUCUACUACUAUUACUCCACACAUCGACCGACUCCUGCCUGCAUCUAGAGUAUUAAGUUCAUAAGAACAAAGUAACGCAUUAAGAAAGAUGACAUGAUGUAGAGGGAUAAACUCAUGCAAUAUGAUAUAAACCCCAUCUUUUUAUCCUCAAUGGCAACAAUACAAUGCAUGCCUUGCUGCCCCUACUGUCACUGGGAAAGGACACCGCAAGAUUGAACCCAAAGCUAAGCACUUCUCCCAUUGCAAGAAAGAUCAAUCUAGUGGGCCAAACCAAACUGAUAAUUCUAAGAGACUUGCAAAGAUAACUUAAUAACACAUAAAAGAAUUCAGAGGAGAUUCAAAUAUUUAUCAUAGAUAAACUUGAUCAUAAACCCACAAUUCAUCAGAUCUCGACAAACACACCGCAAAAAAAGAGUUACAUUGAAUAGAUCUCCAAGAAGAUCAAGGAGAACUUUGUAUUGAGAUUCAAAGAGAGAGAAGAAGUCAUCUAGCUAAUAACUAUGGACCCGAAGUCUGUGGUAAACUACUCACAACUCAUAGGAGAGGCCUUGGAGAUGAUGUAGAGGCCCUCUGUGGUCGAUUCCCCCUCCGGUGGAGCGCCAGCGAAGGCUCCAAGAUGGGAUCUCACGGAUACAGAAGGUUGCGGUGGUGGAAUUAGGUUUUCGUGGUCACUUCUGAUGGUUUCAGGGUACGGGAGUAUAUAUAGGAGGAAUAAGUAGGUCAGUGGACACUCGAGGGGCCCAUGAGGGUGGGGGCGCACCCACCCCCAGGGGGCGCCGGGCACCCUCGUGGCCGCCUCGGUUGGUUCUUGACGUCCACUCCAAGUCUCCAGGUUUGCAUUUGUUCCAAAAAGAUCGCUCCCGAAGGUUUCAUCCCGUUUGGACUCCGUUUGAUAUUCCUUUUCUUCGAAACACUGAAAUAGGCACAAAAAAACAGUAGUUUGGGCUGGGCCUCCGGUUAGUAGGUUAGUACCAAAAAUGAUAUAAAAGUGUAAAGUAAAGCCCAUAAACAUCCAAAACGGGUAAUAUAAUAGCAUGGAACAAUCAAAAAUUAUAGAUACCUUGGGGACGUAUCAAGCAUCCCCAAGCUUAAUUCUUGCUCGUCCUCGAGUAGGUAAAUGAUAAAAACGGAAUUUUUGAUGUGGAAUGCUACCUAGCAUAAUUCUUAGUGUAUUUUUCUUUAUUGUAGCAUGAAUGUUCAGAUCCAAAUGAUUCAAAAUAUAAGUUCAUAUUGACAUAAGAAAUAAUAAUACUUCAAGCAUACUAAUAAAGCAAUCAUGUCUUCUCAAAAUAGCAUGGCUAAAGAAAGUUAUCCCUACAAAAUCAUAUACUCUGGUUGUUGCUCUAUCUUCAUCACACAAAUUAUUUAAUCAUGCACAACCCCGAUGACAAGCCAAGCAAUUGUUUCAUACGUUAGUAAUCUCAAACUUUUUCAACUUUCACGCAAUACAUGAGCGUGAGCCAUGGACAUAGCACUAUAUGUGGAAUAGAAUGGUGGUUGUGGAGAAGAUAGUCUCACAUCAACUAGGCGUAUCAACGGGCUAUGGAGAUGCCCAUUAAUAGAUAUCAAUGUGAGUGAGUAGGGAUUGCCAUGCAAUGGAUGCAUUAGAGCUAUAAAUGUAUGAAAGCUCAAUAAAAGAAACUAAGUGGGUGUGCAUCCAACUUGCUUGCUCACGAAGACCUAGGGCAUUUUGAGGAAACCCGUCAUUGGAAUAUACAAGCCAAGUUCUAUAAUGAAAAAUUCCCACUAGUAUAUGAAAGUGACAACAUAGGAGCUCUCUAUCAUGAAGAUCACGGUGCUACUUUCAAGCACAAGUGUGGUAAAAAGGAUAGUAGCAUUGUCCCUUCUCUCUUUUUCUCUCUCUCUCUCUCUCUUUUUUUAUUUGGUCUCUCUUUUUUUGGCCUUUCUGUUCUUCUUUUUUCGUAAAGUUCGAAGUCUCAUCCCAACUUGUGGGGGAAUCAUAGUCUCCAUCAUUCUUUCCUCACUUGGGACAAUGCUCUAAUAAUGAAGAUCAUCACACUUUUAUUUACUUACAACUCAAGAUUACAACUUGAUACUUAGAACAAGAUAUGACUCUAUAUGAAUGCCUUUGGCGGUGUACCGGGAUAUGCAAUGAAUCAAGAGUGGCAUGUAUGGAAAUUAUGAAGGUGGCCUUGCCACAAUACGAUGUCAACUACAUGAUCAUGCAAGAGCAAUAUGACAAUGAUGAUCCGUGUCAUAAUAAACGGAACGGUGGAAAGUUGCAUGGCAAUAUAUCUCUGAAUGGCUAUGGAAAUGCCAUAAUAGGUAGGUAUGGUGGCUGUUUUGAGGAAGUUAUAUGGUGGGUGUAUUGUACCGGCGAAAGUUGCGCAGCACGAGAGAGGCUAGCAAUGGUGGAAGGAUGAGAGUGCGUAUAAUCCAUGGACUCAACAUUAGUCAUAAAGAACUCAUAUACUUAUUGCAAAAAUCUACAAGCCAUUGAAAACAAAGUAUUACGCGCAUGCUACUAGGGGGAUAGAUUGGUAGGAAAAGACCAUCGCUCGUCCCCGACCGCCACUCAUAAGGAAGACAAUCAAUAAAUAAAAUUAUGCUCCAACUUCAUCACAAAGCGGUUCACCAUACGUGCAUGCUACGGGAAUCACAAACUUCACAACAAGUAUUCUUUAAAUUCACAAUUACCCAACUAGCAGGACUCUAAUAUCACCAUCCUCAUAUCUCAAAACAAUUAUCAAGCAUCAAAUUGAUCAUAGCAUCCAAUUCACUUCCUAUGAUAGUUUUUAUUAUACCCAACUUGGAUGCCCAUCAUUCUAGGACCAAUUUUAUAACCAUAGCAAAUACCAUGAUGUUCUAAAAGACUCUCAAAAUAAUAUAAGUGAAUCAUGAGAGAUCAAAGAUUUCUUCAAAAUUAAGCCACCGCCGUGCUCUAAAAGAUACAAGUGAAGCACUAGAGCAAAACUAUCUAGCUCAAAAGAUAUAAGUGAAGCACAUAGAGUAUUCUAAUAAAUUCCAAAUCAAGUGGGUUUCUCCCAAAAGGUGUGUACAGCAAGGAUGAUUGUGGUAAUCUAAAAAGCAAAUACUAAUAUCAUACAAGACACUCUAAGCAAAACACAUAUCAUGUGGAGAAUAAAAAUAUAGCUCCAAGUAAAGUUACCGAUAAACGAAGACAAAAGAGGGGAUGCCUUCCGGGGCAUCCCCAAUCUUAGGCUUUUGGUUAUCCUUGAAUAUCUUGGAGUGCCAUGGGCAUCCCCAAUCUUAGGCUCUUUCCACUCCUUAUUCCAUAGUCCAUCAAAUCUUUACCCAAAACUUGAAAACUUCACAACACAAAACUCAACAGGAAAUCUCAUAAGCUCCGUUAGUGCAAGAAAGAAAAAACACCACAUAAGAUACUGUAAUGAACCCAGUCUUUAUUUAUAUUGGUGUUAAACCUACUGUAUUCCAACUUUUCUAUGGUUUAUACCCCCCGAUACUAGCCAUAGAUGCAUCAAAAUAAGCAAACAACACACGAAAAAUAGAAUCUGUCAAAAACAGAACAGUCUGUAGCAAUCUGUAACUCUAGAAUACUUCUGGAACUCUAAAAAUCCUACCAGAAUAGUAAGUCCUGGGAAAUUUGUCUAUUGAUUUGCAGCAAAAACAAUCAACGAAAAAGCAUGUUUCUGUGAAUUACUAAAAUUAUUUUUGUGCGUGCAAAAGUUUCUGUUUUUCAGCAGAAUCAAAUUAACUAUCACCGUAGGUUAUCCUAUAGGUUCUACUUGGCACAAACACUAAUUAAAACAUGAAAACACAUCUAAACAGAAGCUAGAUGAAAUAUUUAUUACUAAACAGAAGCAAUAAGCAAGAAACAAAAAAAAUUGGGUUGCCUCCCAACAAGCAGUAUCGUUUAACGCCCUUAGCUAGGCAUUGAUAAUUUCGAUGAUGCUCAUAUGAAAGAUAGCAAUCGAAACACGAAGAGAGCAUCAUGUAGCAUGUGAAAAACACAUCUAAGUCUAACAUACUUCCUAUGCAUAGGCAUCUUGUAAGCAAACAAAUUAUCAAGGCAAGCAAAAACUAGCAUUUGCAAGGAAGAACAAAGAGAUGGUAGCAAUCUCAACAUGAAGAGAGGUAAUUUGGUAACAUGAAAAUUUCUACAACCAUAUUUUCCUCUCUCAUAAUAAUUACAUGUAGGAUAAUAAGCAAAUUCAACAAAAUAGCUAUCACAUAAAAUAUUUUCAACACAAUCCACAUGCAUGCAAAGUUGACACUCUUCCAAAAUAGUAGGAUUAACAUUAACUAAAGUCAUGACCUCUCCAAGCCCACUUUUAUCAAAAACUUCAUAAGAUUGAUCAAAAUCCAAAUAUGUGGGAUCUAAAAUCGACACUCUUCCAAACUCACUUUCAAUAAUAUUGCAAACACUAUUAUCAAUCUCAUAUUCAUCAUGGGGGUUAAAUAAAUUUUCAAGAUCAAAAGAAGAAUCACACCAAUCAUGAUCAUUGCAACAGGUAGUAGACAUAGAAAAACUAGCAUCCCCAAGCUUAGGGUUUUGCAUAUUAUUAGCACAAUUGACAUCAAUAGAAUUUGUAGUAAAAUCAUUUCAAUCAUGCUUUUUAUUCAAGGAGCUAUCGUGAAUCUCUUCAUAAAUUUCUUCAUCACAAUUUUUAGAUUCACAAAUUUCAAGCAAAACAUCAUAAAGAUAAUCUAGUGCACUCAACUCACAAGCAAUUGGUUCUUCAUAAUUGGAUCUCUUGAAAAGAUUAGCAAGUGGAUGAGGAUCCAUGAACUUUUAGCAAGCGAAGAUGCAAGCAAAAAGAAGUCACAUGGAGACACAAGAUCGAACGGAAGAGGGCGAAGAAAACGGCCAGGGUGAAGUGGGGGAGAGGAAAACAAGAGGCAAAUGGCAAAUAACGUAAUGUGAGGGAGAUGAGUUUGUGAUGGGUACUUGGUAUGUCUUGACUUGAGCGAAGACCUCCCCGGCAACGGUGCCAGAAAUCCUUCUUGCUACGUCUUGAGCUUGCGUUGGUUUUCCUUGAAGAGGAAAGGGUGAUGCAGCAAUAGUAGCAUAAGUAUUUCCCUCUUUUUUUGAGAACCAAGGUAUCAAUCCAGUAGGAGGCUCCUCAAAAGUCCCACGCACCUACACAAACAAACAAGAACCUCGUAACCAACGCAAUAAAGGGGUUGUCAAUCCCUUCACGGCCACUUGCGAAAGUGAGAUCUAAUAGAGAUAAUAUGAUAAGAUAAAUAUUUUUGGUAUUUUUAUGAUAUAGAUUGGAAAGUAAAAGAUGCAAAUAAAAGAUAGAUGAAAACUUAUAUGAUUAAGGAUAGACCCGGGGGCCAUAGGUUUCACUAGUGGCUUCUCUCAAGAUAGCAUAAGUAUUACGGUGGGUGAACGAAUUACUAUCGAGCAAUUGAUACAAAAGCGCAUAGUUAUGAGAUUAUCUAGGCAUGAUCAUGUAUAUAGGCAUCACGUCCGUGACAAGUAGAUCGACUCCUCCUGCAUCUACUAUUAUUACUCCACACAUCGACCGACUCCUGCAUGCAUCUAGAGUAUUAAGUUCAUAAGAACAGAGUAACGCAUUAAGAAAGAUGACAUGAUGUAGAGGGAUAAACUCAUGCAAUAUGAUAUAAACCCCAUCUUUUUAUCCUCAAUGGCAACAAUACAAUGCGUGCCUUGCUGCCCCUGCUGUCACUAGGAAAGGACACCGCAAGAUUGAACCCAAAGCUAAGCACUUCUCCCAUUGCAAGAAAGAUCAAUCUAGUGGGCCAAACCAAACUGAUAAUUCUAAGAGACUUGCAAAGAUAACUUAAUAACACAUAAAAGAAUUCAGAGGAGAUUCAAAUAUUUAUCAUAGAUAAACUUGAUAAUAAACCCACAAUUCAUCAGAUCUCAACAAACACACCACAAAAAAGAGUUACAUCAAAUAGAUCUCCAAGAAGAUCGAGGAGAACUUUGUAUUGAGAUUCAAAGAGAGAGAAGAAGCCAUCUAGCUAAUAACUAUGGACCCGAAGGUCUGUGGUAAACUACUCACAACUCAUAGGAGAGGCCUUGGAGAUGAUGUAGAGGCCCUCCGUGGUCGAUUCCCCCUCCGACGGAGCGCCGGCGAAGGCUCCAAGAUGGGAUCUCACGGAUACAGAAGGUUGCAGCGGUGGAAUUAGGUUUUUGUGGUCACUUCUGAUGGUUUCAGGGUACGGGAGUAUAUAUAGGAGGAAUAAGUAGGUCAGUGGACGCUCGAGGGGCCCACGAGGGUGGGGCGCGCGCUCACCCCCAGGGGGGCGCCGGGCACCCUCGUGGCCGCAUCAGUUGUUGCUUGACGUCCACUCCAAGUCUCCAGGUUUGCAUUUGUUCCAAAAAGAUCGCUCCCGAAGGUUUCAUCCCGUUUGGACUCCGUUUGAUAUUCCUUUUCUUCGAAACACUGAAAUAGGCAAAAAAAACAGCAAUUUAGGCUGGGCCUCCGGUUAGUAGGUUAGUCCCAAAAAUGAUAUAAAAGUGUAAAGUAAAGCCCAUAAACAUCCAAAACGGGUAAUAUAAUAGCAUGGAACAAUCAAAAAUUAUAGAUACGUUGGAGACGUAUCAGCAGCGACGACAAACCAGGGGAGAAGCAUGGGAUAAGCGAGACACUGAGUGGCUCGGACGGACCAGGGGAUGUGCUCGGUCCGACCAGGUGGGGGAUCUUUUAAUAACUAGCAAAUUUGCAAAAAAACUGCGUGCAUGCGUAUUUGAUUGAGCUAGCACACGUGGCAGUCAAUGCACACUUGGCGGUGGUUGACUCGGGCCAGAUCAGCCAAUACGUAUAGCAAAGCGUACAAUGGACCGUAGAUGACCCCUAAGUGCAAGUUUGGUGACUGUAUUUCGGGUAUUUGUAACCGUAGGGACUAAAGUGGGCACCAGCGCAAGUAAUAGGGCUUGUAAUGAAUUUUUCUCUUCCAAAAAACACUAGUACAAAUGUAAUCACGAUCAUACACAAUGGAGCUUAUAAACAGAAUCCAAGAAAGCCUCUGCCACCUUUCUGAGCCGUGAAAGGGUGAUGUGAGGGAACAAAAUGGUCGUAUUUGGACAAUUUGUCGAUGACCACAAACAAACAUUUGUACCUGCCAGAUGUGGGCAACCCUUUUACAAAAUCUAUCAUGACCAUUUCCCAAGGAGUUUUAGGUAUUGGUAACGGCUGCAGCAAGCCGGGGUAAGGAAUCCUCUCUGGUUUGGCCUGCUGGCAGACAAGAAAGUGUUGGACAAACUGUUUGAUAAAACCUUUCAUACCAUCCCAACAAAAAAGUUGAUAAACAUGGCGAUAGGUGACAUGGAAAUCAGAGUGCCCUCCCAAGGGGCUGUCAUGGAAGGCACUCACUAUUUUCUUGUGCAAAGAUGGAUCAGCUCCAACCCAGAUGCAACUGUCAACUCGGAGUAAACUGGCCACAAUGCAGCCCAGGUAAUGUUGGCCACAAUGCAGCCCAAGGAAUCAUUGUAUAGCUGGCCACAAUGUUACCGAACCACACUGAUUGGGUAGAAGAAAUAGCAUGCAGCCCAGGUAAUGUUUCACUCACUGAAUGAGGCAUGUGAGACAAAGCCUCGGCGCCUCGAUUCUCGGAUCCUUUCUUAUAGCUGAUGGUAUACUAUAAACCCAAAAGCUUGGUUAGAGCCUUCUGCUGCCAACUAAUAUGCAAACGCUGAUCAGUCAAACUAGCCAAAGUAUGUUGAAUGAUGAAGUCUGAUAAAUGAAGAGAUUAACGACAAUGCUCCACUGCCAACAAGAUUGCCAAGUACUCAUUUUCAUAACAGAUAGUAUUUGAUUUCUUGGACCUAAAGCUUAACUCGGAUAUGCCAAAGGGUGACCUUGCAUCAGAACAUCACCAAUGCCCACAUCACAAGCGUCAGUCUCCGCUACAAAUUUCUUAGAGAAAUCUGGAAGAGCCAAACCAGGGAUGUAACCAUAGCAUGUUUGAGAGCAACAAAAGCUUAAUUUCCCACUUUUGUACAAUGAAACGGCACGCCCUUUUUAAGAAGGUUUGUAAUAGGCCUACAAAUGAUCCCGUAAUGUUGGAUGAACUUUCUAUAUAGAUAGCUAGGCAGGGAAGCAGUUUUAGGCGGGAAAGAGAGAUGAUGUUGGCGCCAAUCCACACGCGCCUCCUCCUUCUCUGGCUCCUUUCCUCCAGUAGAUCUGCUCCCUCCUCUACAGCAGAUCCUCUCAAGUAGCUCCUCAUCCUCCUCCUCUUCAGUACAGCAGGAACCAUCAACAGGCAACAGCAAGGAGCCAACUGCCAAGAUAUACCUCCCCCAUCCUCUACUCCUCUCCCUCCCCCUUCUCCCUCCUCUGCUCUGUUUCUUCCAUGUUCAGCUGUUCAUUGCUUGCUGCUUUUCAGUUGUUCAUUGCUUCCUGCUUUGCUGGUUGCUCACUACUUUGUGCUAGUUGCUUUGCUGGUUGCUCACUGCCUCUCUUAUAGGAGGUGUUUGUUUCACAGUUUUUGCGUCGGUACCUGAUUACAGCGCUAUCCAAAUCCGCUCCCCGUGUUUGGUUGAGUUAGGCUGUUAUUGAAUACUACGUAAUCGAAUUACAUUGCUAUUUCAAAUCCCAUUACGCCCACCUCUGGUCGUAAAGCGAUCCCAUCUCGAUCUGCUAUUCUCGCUCAAGUCCUCUUCUCGUUCCGCCAAAGAAGCCAGAAUCCAUCAGUCAAACCAUUGCCAGAUCUCUCUCUUCGUCCGCCACCGCCUUCCCGGAGCACCACCGCCCCGCCGGAGUGCCGCCAGUCGCUGCCACCGGCGUUGGAGCAGUGGCGCCGCCACCGCCCUGCCGGAUCGCUGCCGCCACCACCAGCAGCGCCACCUGAGCUUGGUGUCCAUGACCGGUGAUCUAUCCAUGGAGAAGGAGAAUCACGCGGCCAUAGCCCUCAUUUUCUUGUAUCUUCGAUCGUUGAGUUCUCUGUUACCGUUACCUGAACGAACCAAGCAAAACCAGAAAUACACCGAUUACAGCGACAACAUGGUGUAACCUAAUUACGUUACUGGUUACGUUAACGAUGACGCAACCAAACACCUCCAUAGUGGUUAGUGGAUGCCUGGAUGGUUAGAAUAAUGCAUGAUUACUGUUGGGGAAAAGAGAAAGUGCAAAGAGGAUGGAUUCUAUAUGGGCUCUACAACCAGCAGCAAGCGCAAGAUGUGUACUGUGUAUGCCUAGUUGCCUACCAAAUGUUGCUUCAUGCUGCUGCUUAGAACUCUCUAAGGUGUCUGCCUUGCCUUAUGACUUAUCACUUAGGCAGUGAGCCCUGGAACCUUCUAGAACCCAAGAAUUGCAUGAAAAUCAUUAUAUCAUAUGAUGACAAAGGCAUGUAGAAGGGGGUUGUGGGAAACGCAGGGGGCUCANNNNNNNNNNNNNNNNNNNNNNNNNNNNNNNNNNNNNNNNNNNNNNNNNNNNNNNNNNNNNNNNNNNNNNNNNNNNNNNNNNNNNNNNNNNNNNNNNNNNNNNNNNNNNNNNNNNNNNNNNNNNNNNNNNNNNNNNNNNNNNNNNNNNNNNNNNNNNNNNNNNNNNNNNNNNNNNNNNNNNNNNNNNNNNNNNNNNNNNNNNNNNNNNNNNNNNNNNNNNNNNNNNNNNNNNNNNNNNNNNNNNNNNNNNNNNNNNNNNNNNNNNNNNNNNNNACACACACACACAUGCGCGCGCAUGCGUGUGCAUGCAUCUAGGGCCUGAUGUGCUCUAACCUCUAAGGGAUACAACGAAGAGAAAAUGGGGUUUUUGAUGUGUGAUCUACAAGCAAGUUGGCUAACUUGAUGUUCCUCGUCACAAGCACAAAACUAUCAAAUGAAGUAGCAUAUGUUGUGGACAAGAGGACGAGUGUAUGGUUGAACCCAUGCGAAGGAGUAAAGACAGGGUUUGUUUUGGAGAUCGUUCGUCUUUGUGAAGCAUUGAAGAAUGCGUGUGCUUAGUCAGUACCUUGAACCAUUGGCCAUGAUCCUGGAUCAGCUGGUCGUGCCGAUGAAUGGAAACGUGUGUGUUAAACAGCAAAAUAGUCUUGAUGGAAGCCAUCAACGACAUGAACACCGACGCCAAGGUGAUGCUUGCAUCAACCAAGGCCUGCUGUGAAUGCAUAACACUUGUUGGUCACUGCGCGACACUCAUGGAGAGCAAUCUUUAAAUUAUUCAGAAACACAGUUGGUGCAUAGCGAGUAGUUCUCCUCAUUAUCCUAUGGAAUUCUUUUGUCGGAAGGCAACGAUUGGCCGAGCCUGUAGAAGGAUGUGUUUAUCCACUGGGGGGCCAUGGCCCCCCACAAAAAGAUUGCAAAAUGUUUUUUAAUAGUGCAUGCAUAUGCAUAUAUCCAUUAUAUUAAUUUUGGUGCAGCCUAAAUACUCCAAAACUUCAACCCUUCAUAAUGUUGCCUUCACAUAGGUCGAAAUCUAGGUCCACCACUGCGGUGAGGAGAGGUGAUUUUUCUAAGCGAGAAAACAUAUAGCAAUAUUGUACUUCCUCCAAUCCAAAAUAAGUGUCGCGGUUUUAGUUUAUAUUUGAACUACUACGACACUUAUUUUGGGUCAGAGGGAGUAUUAAGAACUUGCUCCAUUCCUAAAUUUCAUGUUGUAAAAUAAAAUUAUCGGGUAGGUAAUUUUGGACUCUAUUCCUUUUGGUUACCAUAGAUCAUGUUCUCUUUUGCCACUGCAUAUUUAAAAUAGACUUCUACAUGUUCACAAACAUGAAAAAAUUACCCUAGUUUUCAUACAUAUCACCCUAAAUAUAUUCCUCUUUUGGAUUAGGUGGGAGGGAGGAUUGGCUGGUCUAAAGAGCAAAAUGGAGUCUUCUGCAAAAUUGUCAUAGCUGAUCAGACGCACUGUAGAAGUGGGAUUUGUUAGUAUCAUGCUAUUUCUCAUGGUUUGGUUAUAAAUCAUCGUCCUGCGCAUUUACGAAAUAGAUGCAGAGUGCCUGGCCAUUGAAGGAACCAAAAAGAAAUCGUGAUUUUUUGUCUCUGGCACUAACUAAAAGUAGAUGCAGAGUACCCCGACCAUUGUGUCUGGCACUAACUAAAAGUAGAUGCAGAGUGCCCGACCAUUGAAGGAACCGGAAACAAAUCGUGGUUUUUUUGUCAGAUUUUAAACAUGGCAACUCAAACGUUUUUUAUGGCAACUUCAGUUGACACGAGGUGGCAAGUGGUUUUUUUGUCGGAUUUUGAGCAUGGCAACUUCAGUUGACACGAGGUGGCAAGUUUAAUUGGUAGACAUGUGUCAAAAUGACAUGCUUACCCAUGAUUGUGAAGGACGUGCACUGAUUUCCAGCGCCUGCCUUCUUGCUUCUCAAAGCAACACUUCAGUUAUCUUAUCCACCUGAACACCCAGUUCCUUUAGGGAUUCUAAAGUGUGUAAGGGCUUAAGGCUGCGCAAUCCUCCUAAGUCCAUAAAUUGAAACGAUUAAGCAAACGUACAGCUCUAGGCACGAGAGCUUCUUAUUGCUUGGUGGUAAGAUCGAGUUCCGAGUCACAGCUCAGAUAUGGAAACAACUGUAAACAAGAACAUCUGGAUCAUCCUAUCACAGUUAUCAAAGACUGAUUUUACUCCACAUGAUAGAUGUUUCGCCAUUACAAACCGCUCAGCAAUUCAACUAUUUAAAGGUAGCAGGCAUUCAAGACCAGGGCAUCACUCAAAAACAAAACCAGUAGCAUUUCUGUAAGAGGGGUAACUAAAUGGGACGACAUAAUGUUUUCCAGAUCAACCAAUCCCAGUACCAAGAAUCCAGCAGCAACAGGUGGGCGAACAAAGAUUCUAGAUCUUGUUGAAGGCAACGAUGUCACACGACUGGACAUACUCGUUGAUGGGCGCCUCACAGAGCACUUCCUCAAUAAGGGUGUCGACAGACACAAGGUCGUCGAUGAUCGUCAGCAUGAUCUGGAGCUUCUUGAUGCCAUAACCCACAGGCAUAAGCUUAGCUGCAAGAGUGAAAGCAGGGUGUCAACUUCGCCAAACUGUUGCAUCAGUGAGCUAUAAUAGAGAUAAAUACUAUGAAAAGUAAUGAGUUCCUUACAUGCACCCCAGGUGAGACCCUCCAUUUGAACACUGCGGACAGCCUCCUCCAACUUCUUCAUGUCAGUCUCAUCGUCCCAUGGCUUGAUGUCCAUGAGGACGGAGGAUUUGCCACCUAAAUGAGCAUGGUGUUAGCACAAACUGGACAACGACAAUAUAAGCCAGACUAGAUGAACGCUGCAGGAUAAUUGCCUAGUAGUCAGUAGGUAAUUAAGCACACAACACUAGUAGAGCUUACUUUCUUUCUUCUUUGCAGGCUUGGCAGCCUCACGCUCAGCUGCUGCUUUCUUGUCCUCCUCGGUCUCAUCGCCGAACAGAUCCAUGUCAUCGUCAUCAUCUUCAUCCUGCAAGAAGGCCAAACACAUAAUGCAAAACAAUAAUUAUGUUUGAAUCCAAAACAGAUCCAUGACGACUGACAUAAAUGUAACUGGGAUAGUGCUUCUGCAAAAAUUCAUUAUAAUGUGAAGCAUCCACUAUAGAAGUUAUUAACGUAACAAUAAAGCCUUCAAGGGCAAAUAAAAGCCACAGCUCAAGUGCUCAAACCCUCACCUUGGAAGCAGCAGGAGCAGCUGCAGCAGGAGCCGAGGAUGCACUCACCCCAGAGGCCUGGCCAGGGAACCUGCAUAAUCAGCAACAUAUGAAGCAACCACGCAUAUAAUUACGCCCAUCCAUACGGCAGAUCAAUCUGCCAAGCUUAGUGACAGCAUAUUAAGGUAGAACAGCAAGCUCGUACCUUGAAGAAACGGCCGCGGCGACGGCGUCGUACCAGCGGGCAGCGUUCAGGAACUCGGCGCUGGGCUUCACGGGCACCGCCGCGAACACCUUGACGUCGUCCUUGGUGAUCCCAUCGCUGCAGAAGCAUCACAAACACUACCGAUAAGCAAACACAGACGCCACGCCCCAAAUCAGUUCGCCAGAUUUGCGAAAUUCGAAGCUAAGGAGACGAGAUCUCAUGCUCUAGGCAUCGCCAUCGCAGAGCGGAACAGUUCAAAACUAGGCAAUCCAACUGCAGACCACUACGAACUAGCAGAUCUGAUCGAGUACAGCGAGUGAGUAGGGUAGGCAACUGUGCUCACCCGGAGAUGUAGGUCUUGCCGGCGAGGUGCGCCUCGAGGGCCUUGAGCCCGUCGGCGGUGUGGAGGUCGGAGAACGUGACGGCCAUCGGAUCCGGCGAGCUCGGGGGCUUGUCGAAUUCGCUGGGCGGCGGCGGCGGCGCUGGAGGCUAAAAUCCCAAAACCCUAGCGAGACCGAGAGGGGAAUGCGGGGUAGCCAGGGCCGCCUAUUUAUAUCUGGCCGCCGCGCCGGUGGGUCCCACGUCACGCACGCCCGUUCGAUCUGGCAUCUACGGUGGGGAUAUUCCCUGGGAAAGCUACACGAGCAUCCUGGCCGCUCGAUCGGAUCUCCCAUCGUUGGACGGUUCAGAUUCGAUCGUGCCACUGGAUAGAGCCCUCUGCUCCUUGCUCAGCUCCCUCCUCGCCUUCUCCGGCGAGCUCCCAUGGUGUCGCUCGCUGCCCCGGCAUUCCACUCGCUGGUCGCGAAAACCUCCAGGGCCUGCACCACGAGGGCGUCUUCGCAACGCGAGAGCGCGCCCGGCCGCCCUGGAGCGAAGGCGCGGCCUCGGGCGGCGGGGACUGCGCAGGCGGCGGCGGUGGAGGCGGAGGAGACCCCGAGGUUCAGGUGGGAUGAGCUCGGGUCCGACCUGUCCGAGCCCCAGGAGCAGGCGAUGCGCGGCCUGUCCCCCAAGCUGCCCAACCGCUGCAGGGCGCUGAUGCCGCGCGUCGUGUCGCUGUCCCCCGGCGAUGAGAAUCUCGGCGUGGUCCUUGCGUUCUGGGUGAAGGCCAUGAAGCCCAAGAGGGCGGACUGGCUGCUGGUCCUCAAGGAGCUCAAGGCUAUGGAGAGCCCGCUUCUCGCUGAGGUCAGUGAUCAUUUUCUUCCCCCAAUCUCGUUGCUAAAUCUUUGGAGCAGAUUAAAAUUACAUGGUGCGUUUGCUGGAUUGUGGUUAGGGGUGGUUGCUGAAGUACUAGAAUCACCUAGGGAGUAACCAUUCUCAUGUUUAUGAGGCAAUUGAAUUAGCUAUACUUGAGAAACUGAAAUGCUCUCUGCAUGUUGCUGUACUAGGUUGACAUCGUUGUUAUUUUUUGGCACCACCAUUGCCCGAGUGAGAUUUUAUUUGCUUGGAGAAUGAACAUGCUCUUAGUUUACUCACAUCUUCUUUAGGGAAUUUUGAGUUUAGAAUUUUCUGAACUUCUGAUCUGAGCUCCUUACUGAACAUUGAAUUAGGAAUGACUGAACUUCUAAUUUGCAUCAAUGGUGACUAUUAGCAUUAAUUUUGUCGCCGAUGUGACCUUACGAAUGGACUGUGUGUUGGCUAGGUACUAGAAUAUGCACUUCUGGAGGAUUCUUUCGAAGCGAAUGUGCGUGACUACACCAAACUGAUGCAAAUCUACGGCAAGCAAAAUCUGUUGCCGGAAGCCGAGGAAGCAUUCCAGGCCAUGAAAGCCAGAGGCCUCCCAUGUGAUCAGGUCAUGCUGACUGCACUGGUGGACAUGUACAGCAAGGCCGGGGAUCUCACCCGCGCAAAGGAAACAUUCGAAGAGAUUGUGUUGCUCGGCCUACCACUCGAUAAGCGGGCAUACGGUUCAAUGAUCAUGGCCUAUAUCAGAGCAGACAUGUUAGACCAAGCAGAAGAUCUGAUCAAACAGACGGAGGAUCAGCAGGUCUUCGCGGGGAAAGAGGUCUACAAGGCUCUCCUGAGAGCAUACUCGUACAAAAGCGAUUCAGAAGGGGCGCAACGAGUCUUCGAUGCGGUACAGUUCGCAGGGACAGUGCCAGACACGAAGCUGUGUGCGCUCCUGGUGAAUGCCUACUGCCUCUCCAAUAGGAUCGACGAGGCCGUCUGUGUGACCCGAAACAUGAGGAGUGCAGGACUGGAACUGUGCGACAGGUGUGUCGCGUUGAUACUCGGCGCGUACGAGAAGGCCAAUAGGCUGGAAGGAGCACUGGAGUUUCUAACGGAGCUCGAAGAGAACGGUGUCGUGAUCGGCCAAGAGCCGUCGCAGCUGCUCGCGGCAUGGUUCGGGAGGCUCGGGGUGGUUCAUGAAGUGGAGCAGGUCCUGGAGGAAGUGAGUAAGAGUAGCAAGAGCAAGCAGAGUGUUUCACUCCUGACGGAAGGGACGAAGAGUAGGAAGAGCAAAGACGGUGUUGAGAAGGAAUGGAGAAAAGGCAGAAAGGGUAAACACAGCAUUUCAGUACACCAACAACCCAGCAUUUCAGUACACCAGCAACCCAGCAUUUCAGUCCAGACGAAAGGGGCAACCAACAGGAAGAGCAAAAUCACUAAGUCCAUUACCUCAGCAACUGAAGUGAUUUUGUAACUCCAGUGCCAUUAGCAUUCAUCUUAUGACAAUAUGUUUUCAGAAAUCACAUGCACAAUCAUGGGGAAUCCAAAACCACAAGAGGCAGGAUGCCAGGAUCUAUGUAAGUGUAUGUAACUGAAACUCUAGUGCAGAGGAGAAAUAAGAUUCCACAAAACCAGGCAACAGUGAUGUCAACCUAACAUUUCUCUGGAAAAAAUGUCAAGUUAACAUUAAUACAUCUUGUUCAAAAAAUGAAAAGCAGACUAGUGCAACAGGGCUACUCUACUCACUAGCUGAGCAGGCUCCUCAAUUCAUGCUCUUCUAGAUUAUAGAACUCAAAAUGUGUCCAAGUGCAGAGAGAAACAACUUCGAAACAAGAUUUGACAGAACCAGGCAAUAAAAGACCCUGAAGAACGCACAUCCAAUCAAAACAUCUCAAGUGCUAAUCAAGAAAUGCAAGACCAAACUACUGUAGUGCGACAGGACUACUUGUUACUAUACGAAACAUGAAUCGCAAAACAUGCUCUAAACGGCAAUAUUUGAACAGCCUCCUCAAUCCAUGCUCCUCCGCAUUAUAUAUAGACCUCAAAAUGUGGUCAGCACCACCAUAGGAUGAAAGAUUCAAUAGUCGAGACCCGAUUAGAUCCAUGGUUGUACAUAAAUUAGUACACUAGUAGAUGUUUAAUUUCAUUAAGCAGAGCAAAGAGGUUCUGGUCUAAUCAUCGGCCUCGGUUUUGGACUUCUUCUUUCUUUCUGGCUGUCUUAGGCUCAACAGGCUCUGCAGCAUCACGGUUCUGCUUUUUCUUUUUCUUUGGAGUCUCAUCUUGUUCGCCGUCGCCAUUGGCUGCCAUCUCUUAAUCCUGGGGCUCCUCUAGCUUGUGCUUCUUUUUAUUUUCCUUCUUCUCUGUCUCAGGUUCAGCUUCUGCUGCGGCCGUAUUGGCAGACUUAUCAAGAUCCAUGGCGUCACCAUCAGCCUCAGAUUUGGACUUCUUUUUCUUACUUUUCUUGGCAGACAUGUCACCGUUCUCCUUCUUCUCCUUGUCUGCGAAAGAGGGCAAGGUGUAAAUUUACACAUGUACAGAAAGACUUGAAAUUAAGUGAUACCCUCAAUUGCAGCUUUCAUUACAUCAAGGGUCUUGCGUGGUGCAACACCCUUGUCAUAAAAGUCUAAUCUCUCCUCGACUUGUUCACGCAGUUUCUCACUGAAAAUGGAGCUACUCAUAUCUGGAAUUCAUAACCCAGUGAGGAAAACAAACAAAAAAGGCAGUCAGGAUGUUUAACCUUUGCAGACAAAAUCCUUCAACUAACCUGAAUAACAGUCAAUGCGUGAAGCAAUUGAGCAUUUGUUUGCCAGGUAUCUAGCCAUUCUUCCCUUGUUCUUGGUCGAUGCACGGCCAAUAAAAGAUGAGUGGAAUAUGGAAAUAUAAUAAUACAAAUAUUAUUGUCUCUAGGGUAUAUUUUCAACAGUUUUUUCUUAUUUUUCAAUUCUAAACAUAAUUAUGCAUAUGAUUGUCUUUUUGAAGAAAAUUUAAAAACCUUUUCCUUUUUGUGUGGGUUGUGAUUUUUUUCCCUUUCCCUUUUUCUUUUUUGCUAUUUUUUUCCUCGUUUUCAUUUAAAUAUUUAUGAACAUUUUGAACUCUUUUUUUUUGUUGUAAGUUGCAUGUCCAUCACCAAACACGUGAAUGCAAGUAUCACCCAUGCCUCAAAACAGCAUGUUUUCAAAGCGGACGUAACUUGGGAGGCAAAAGUGGGUAGUUGCAUGUCUCCUACUAGACAUGCAACUGCAAGCGCUACCUCUGACAUGCAACUAGAUCUGACCCUUUUUCGUCUCGGUUGCAAGUUCACCCUCGCCACGCAACUGAGGGAGGGGGAGGAGGGCGACUCUUUUUUUUGUCUCAGUUGCAAGUCCACCCAGGAUGCAACUAGGCUCGCCUCUUUUGUUCUCCUAGUUGUGAUUCCAUCUGUCAUACGCAACUGGGGAUGACCUAUUAUUUGUCCCAGUUACAAGUCCACCCCGACACCUUUUGUCCCCGAUGCAAGCUCACCCCCAAGAUGCAACUGGACUUUGACCUACUUUUUGUCCCAGGUUCAAGUCCAUCAUCGACAUGCAACUGAGGCCCGAUCCCUUCUGUCUCAGUUGCAAGUUCAGAUCCGACAUGCAACUAGGCAAGACACAUUUUUCGUCCCGGGUGUGAGUCUACUCUCAACAUGCAAAUGGGUCUACCUCCUUUUUUGUCCUAGUUGCAAGCCCACCCCCGACACGCAGUUGUUUUGUCCCCAGUUGUAAGUCCAUCCUCGACAUGCAACUCGGGCGAGGUGGGUCGACCCAUUUUCUGUUCCCGGUAGGCCAUCUUUUUUGUUGUCCUAGUUGUGAGUCCAUCAUUUCAUAUGUAACCCAUUAUUUGUCCCAGUUGCAAGUUCAUCCUUACAUGCAACUAGGAGGAGGGGCUCCUUUUUUCCCCAAUUGUAAGUCGACAUCCGACAUGCAACUGGGCCUUAUCCCUUCUUUCUCCCUAUUCAACUAGAUUGUUGACUAGUCACAUGUCCAUAAUUUAAAGACAGUCAUGAUUUUUUUUGUUUUAUUUUAAAAAAUCAUGAACAUUUUCUUAAAAUUGUGAACCUUUUAAAACGGCGACAUCCUUCAUAUUUGUGAUUUGAAAAAAAAAUCAUGAUUUUUUUUGAAUUCUCUCAAAUUCACAAAUAUUUUUAAGUUCAUGCAUAAUUAAAUAUUUCAUGGAAAUUUUUUACAUGCGCGGACAUUUUCUAAAUUUAUUAGCAUUUUUAGUACUCACAAACAUUUUUUUUGUAUCCAUGAACAAUUUUAAAAUUUACAAACACUUUUUCUAUAGUUCUUGUUUAUCACGUAUGUUUGUUCCUAUCACAAUCAUUCAUCCAUUUAUCAGAUCAGUACAUAGGAGGUUGAGAAAAUUUUGCUGAAUCGUGAGCUAACUAGCUUAUCCAUGCAGGCAUGCACACACCUCGGUAGCAUGGUUGUUUGUGUAUGCACUAAUGCACAUACGGAGAUAGGGCGACUCACGGCUGAACGAGGACUACAGUGACAGGCGGCAAAAGAAAAGGCUUGCAGGGUAAAAAAAAACAACGUCAAAACAACCACAGCAACAACACACAAGUGAAAAGCAGAAUUGAGGAAGCACCAGACUACAAUCUAAUAGUGAUGUCACUCAGAUGUGGCAUUACAAUGUCUCAUCUAGAUGAGGCUUACACGAACCCAUUCAAUAAUACUUCCUCAAGUAUCAUGCGAAUGAAGCUAAAGAUAUCCUUCCUAAAAUUAGUUGGACUUCAAUUAUUACCCGACUGUGCCCGUGCUGUCUUUCUAUACAUGUGAAAUUUGACACGCAUUGUUUAUAUACAACUCCAGCAAAAAAUAUCAAAAUCCCGUGCGUGGCAUUCUACUAGUAGCAUGUAGGACUACAGUUCGACGAUGGCCAAUCGGGUGCACAACGUCGAGUGCAUAGCAGGCUUAUCAAGAUGCAUAGCGUCAUCAUCAGCCUCGGAAUUAGACUCUUUUUUCCCACCGUUCUCCUCUUUAUCUGUGAAAGAAUUGUUCAGGGCAACGUGUAAAUUUACACAUGUACAGAAAGACUUGGAAGUUAAGUGAUUGAGAGACCAAUGUAUAAAGAGAAGUGCCCUUACCCUCCUCUGAGACUGUGUUGGUCAUACACUCAAUUGCAGCCUUCGUUACAUCAAGGUACUUGCGUGCUGCAACAUCCUUUUCACAACAGUCUAAUCUCUCCUCGACUUGUUCCCGCAUCUUCUCACCGAAAAUGGAGCUACUCAUAUCUGGAAUUCAUAACCCAGUGACAGUGAGGAAAACAAACAGAAAGGGCAGUCAGGAUGUUUAACCUUUGCAAACAAAGUCCUUCAACUUACCUGAAUAACAGUCAAUGCGUGAAGCCAUUGAGCAUUUGCUUGCCAGGUAUCUAGCCAUUCUUCCCUUGUUCUUCGUCGAUGCACGGCCAAUGAAAGAUGAGUGGAAUAUGUGGCCAUACUUCGGUGUGUUUCCACCUGUUUUAAGAGCUCUGCAGUAAAAUUAGGAAAUCAAUCACAACAUAUCAGAAACAUAGAGGACAAAGCCUGAAUACUUGACAAAACAGUUAUUGUUUGAGUAUAAGGACAAUUACAAAUGAGAGAGCACAGCUUGAAAAAAUAGGACGUGGGAAUACAUAAGCAGACAAUGCGGUCACAAUUACCUUCUCAUUGCCUUCUCGGCACCUAGUAUCUGGAGAGAGGAGGAAGGUAAUUUUGCAAGAUUCGAAAGACUGCCAGCAUUAGAGAUUAACUGAGCUCCAACCAUUUCACCAAUCAAUGACGUCAGAUUUGGUGCAAUAUCAUUCAUCUUUGUCACCAGAUACUCGUAGAUAUUUUUACGGUACUCAGAUAGAUUCAUGACCCUUUGAGCAAACUGUUGGACAUUGAUCAAAUCAACUGGUGAAAGGUCCUGGCCUGAAAAUAAAAAGAAGAUUACAUAAACUAAGCAACCGUGGUAACAACUGAGAAGCAUACCAAUUGUGAACAUUGUUGUUACCCAUAGAUGCCUUUGCUGCUUCAACAAUUUCUUUUGCCUUGUCCUCAUCUCCAAUCAGAUCUGCUAAAGCUGGAAUGUCUUUCUCUGACAAAUCAGAUUUGUUUGCUACAAAUUUGGCAAGCUUAGCAUAAAGGUAGUUGUCAUUCACGACUUUGACCAGCUCAGGAAAAUGCCAUCCAUACCACUCCCUGCAUCAUUGUUAAGCAACAAUUUAAUACAACCAUGCAACUAACACAACAACAGUGACAAAUGUUCAAAACUAGUUACAGCGUCAACAAGUGUAAAAAGAAAAAAAAAAUGUCAUUACACCCACCUAAAGCCUUUAGUGUUCCCCGCAAAGAAAAGAAAGCAUACAUGGUGUAGGAUAAGCACAGUUGAUUAGUUAAAAUUGAUCUUUCAUUACCAUAGGAUAUAUUGUAAGAGCUUAUGUCACUGUAAGCCGGACAGUGACCUGACUGGACAUGCAAUUAACAUAAAAGUAUUUGAUCACGUGAAUUGAGGAAAUUUAUCAAGAUUUCGACACAAUAUGCAACUGAAUGCACAUAGUAUAACUAGAGACUUGGGCUUAGGGUUUGUAAUUAUACUACCUCUUUUCCGGUUUAUUAAGCCCACGCGUACACCUUAGAUCGACAAUUUGACCAUCACAAUACUAGUUAUAUAUUAUAAAAUUAUACCAGUAGAAACUUCCAAGUGUUGUAUAUAUAAGAGUAAAUUGCUCAAAGCCACCACAUUUGUGGCACGGAUACUGCAAAACCACCACUAUUGCCAAAAAUCACAAAAAACCACCGGCUCCGCGGCAAGUGGGUAACAAAUCGCACUAAUUCAAAACUGAGCCGCGUCUAACAGCAAAACUGACGGGUUGGCCCCACAUGUCAGGCUGACUUGGCACGCCUGUGUGGAUAUUAUGAUGAGGUGGAAGGUGACCCCACCUGUCAGCCUCACAUAUCCUUUAACCUUUUUUUAUUUUUCUUAUUCCUUCUAUCUCUCCCUCUCUGCAAAGCUGCUCACUCCACCAUUGUCGCCGGCAGGCAGAGCCCCUCGAGAAGCCCCGCCGUCGCCGGGAAGCCCCUUCCGCUGAGAAGCCCCUUCGCCGGGAAGCCCCUUCCUCCCUCCCCUCUUGGCCUCGACGCCCCCACUCGCGCACGCGGCCACGGGCGACGGACGCCACGCCAUGGCCGCGCCAUGGCCGCCCACCGAGAUCCGUCAGUCAACGCCGGGUUGGCCUCCUCCUGCAGCGCCGUUCACCACCUCCCUGCAGCUUUAUGUGGUGGUGGAUCGAGCGUUGCAGGCAGCGAACGAACGCUGAAGCCAACGGAUCAACUGAAUCGGGAGCAGCUGCGUUGACCUGCUGCUAGCCAGGGCCGACUCGAUGGGAGGCGUCGGUGCGAUUCGACGGGAGACGUACUGCAGAACGGCGGCGUUGACCUUCUGCUGGCCAAGAUAGAUAGGUCCGUCCGCGUACGGCCAUGUUGUGGGCGACUCCGGCGGCGGGAUCCUGCCUCGCCCUCGACCUCCCCCACCUUCCUACUCUCUGGAUCCGGCUGUUCCCCAUGAUGUCAUCAUUGGGUACGGCCGCGUCCGCCGCCGCUAAUCGUCGAGGAGCACCCCCGAGCUCCGCCAUCCUGCAGCAGCACCGAGCUCAAGCCACCGGCAGAUAGGAAGAGAGAGAGAGAGGGGAAAAGAGAUGUGAGGAGGAAGAAGGAGGUAUGGGGCUGACAUGUGGGCCCUUUGCCACCUCAUCAUAUUAUCCACACAGGCAUGCCAAGUCAGCCUGACAUGUGGGGCCAACCCGUCAGUUUUGCUGUUAGACGCGGCUCAGUUUUGAAUUAGUGCGAUUUGUUACUCACUUGCCGCAGAGCCGGUGGUUUUUUGUGAUUUUCGACAAUAGUGGUGGUUUUGCAGUAUCCGUGCCACAAAUGUGGUGGCUUUGAGCAAUUUACUCUAUAUAUAAUUCAUAUUGCAUUGGUAAAAUUGACAACCUAGAGAUACACACAGGACCUAUAAACGGGAAAGGAGUAGUAGCAUGUAGACAAUAUGAUUGAUGCCACUGAUGUAUAAAAAAUCCGGUCAUACAGAUGAAAUUAAUCAGAUUUCAGCUUUUUUUUAACUCAUGUAAUCAGAAAAGGGUGGCACAACCAAUAUACUGUCAGCUAAACUGGAAACAUAAUGAACAAAUGUCGACUCUAGUACCUAUAUCUAGAAUUUUCUCAGGACUUCUAUGUCGCCAUCAACUUAUCUAUUUUGAGUUAAUCCAAGUCUCAUCACAACAGCCAAAACAAAGAACCAGAUAGUUAAAUUAAGCAAAUUAAGAAUAAGAUUAGGAACCAACCUCACUCUCAUGGUGAAGAAAUUGAUGCCCUUAUCAAGUGUAUCCAACAGAAAUAGAGUUUGAGUCACCAUGUUAUCCGCACUUGCCAUGCUAUAGUUCUCCAGGUCAUAUGGCUGCAAUAAAAAACCAACAGAACAGAGUUUACAAACAAGAACCAGAAAACACUAUUAUUAGCCUACAGAUGGAAUAAAACCCCUGAAGAACGAUUAACAUGUCAGAAAUCAAUUUGUGAACUUCCAGGCAAUUCACUGUAUGAUCUAGGUAAACUUAACUAGUGAACGUGAUGUGUCAACCAUAAUAAGGUAGUAAUUGUCCAACUCUCUGCACCCACUUCAUGCAAAAUCAUAGUUCAUACCACCAGAACAUUAAAAAAAUUCCACUGCUGUAGAAUCCUCUAAAAUCAAAUACACCAGCCACAACCCACAACUCAGACCACACUGUGUUUUGUCCUACUGCACCUUACAGCUUCACAAGGCAUGUUCCACGGUUCAAACUUGUAUGAAACAAUGUAAAACAUCGAAACUAGACGCAAAUGCAAAUGCAAAAUCCAUCACCUUGAGUUGGUCAAACAGCUGACCGAAGUGCAGACGCACCGCACCAAGCAGUUCCUGGAUAAAGUCAUCGGACUGGCAAGGGAUUCCGGUGGCCUCGGUGAUGCGGGACCCGACCUUGGGCUGGGCGACGCCGACGGUGAACUUGCCCUUCUUCCACUCCUUCACCUUUGGCAGGUUGAGCACCAGGAAGUUUACCAACUCGUCGGUCGUGAUCCCUGAGCCACCAAAAGAGCACCCACACGCAAUUCGCUCGUCACGGGAGCCAUAAUAAAGCAGGGAGGCUUGGCACGAUGAUUCCACCGGGGGAGGACACGAUACCUUCGGAGACGGCGUUGCACUGGUUGAUGGCGUCGACGGCGGAGAGGAAGGGGGUGAACCUGGCGAGCUUGACGGCCCUGCUGAACCGCUUGAGGUCCAGCAGGGUGGGGCGGACGGCGUCCACGGUCUGCCCGAUCUUGCGGAUGCCGGAAGCGUGGAAGAGCGCGUACCCCGACGCCGACUCGAAGAGCAGGUAGAGCGUCAUCUCGCCCGCGCGCUUCGCCGGCGACGGCCGAGGGGUUUGGGAGGCCCGGCGGGGGCGGGGAAGAGGCUAGGGUUUAGGCGAGGGGUGUGGGCUUCGCCGGGGCCUUACUUCUUUUUUUCUUGAGUUGGACACCGGGGCCUUAAUUAUGAUGGUGGGGUUUGCGUUGGCGCUACGGUGGCAGGCCUCGGCCGUCCGAUUGGGUCUAUGCACGAAUCCGAUUCUCUGAGCGCUCGUGUGCUAUCCUGAUUGUCAUCUCUUGGAGGCCACGUUGGGAUCGGCACCAUCGCAAGUGUGGCGUUCUAUUCGGAAGAGACAUCUUGGCUUUUGGUUUAAUCGAACGAAUUGGAUGGUGAAAGAAACGUCUAAAGUAUGAGAUUUUGUAUGGCGACUGGCACAUACCUCUCUUCCUACAGGUUCAGUUCGCCAUGAGAAACGAUGUCGGCGACGUCCCCCGAGCCAGAGUUGGAGGCACACAAGAAGGUAAGAAUGAACCAAGAUAGAAGCGGCACUGAGGAAGAACCUUAGAGGUCUGGGUAGAGGUGUGUUGAUGCUGGAGAAGAACAAAAUCGACCCUAGACCUAGAAGGACGGGCGAGGAGAAAGUGGACUAACAAUUGCGAUGGCAGUAGGGCCAGGGCCCUUAGGGUUCUGGGGGGAGGCAUGCAGACGUCAGAGGAGAAGAAAGACCCCUAGACUUAGAAGGAUGGCCAAGGAAGUAGUGGACCAACAGUUGUGAUAGCAAUGGGACGGGGCCCUUAGGGUUCUAGAAGGAGGUGUGUCAACGUCAGAGAAGAAGAAAGGCCCUUGGACCUAGAAGGAUGGCCGAGGGGGCAGUAGAUUGACAUCUGCAAGGGCGGCAGGGUCACCCUGGGCAGAUGGCCGGAUGGAUCCAUGCAUCAUUGUUGACUCAUCGAGCAAACCAGCGAGCGUUGGAGGUGAGUCCAGGACAUGAGUGAACAGCGGCAGUUCUGACAAUGUUGAGAUCAUCUCAAACAACUCACAAAAGAACUCCUGAGCAUUUAUUGGGGCUUCCCGUUAACACAUUUGUUUGAAAAAUAACAACUUUAUUAAUUGGAAAUAAAGGUUACAUCGUCUAUAGGAAAAGGUACAAUAUCGCCCAUAGGCUCCUCAAACCACUCAUUUGUCGCGGAAACUCUCGCUAACCUAGUUUGUUCAUGCGCAACCCUGUUCGCUUCCCUAUUACAGCGUUCAAAACUAGUGAGAGGAAAUCACAAGCCAAAAGAUAAUAUUCAUCAAAAACUGCCGUCAGCGCUCCAGCAAAUUAUCCUACGUUCUUCAUUGUGUCGAUGAUUUCCAGAGUUUAUUACCAGGCGAUUGCAUCCCGCCUUUUAUGCCGGAGAUAAGCCAAACCUUAGAGCCAAAGCUUCUGUUGUGAAAACAUCCACACAACAAUCAAUCUUUCAAUUUUCGCCGAUGAUGAAAUUUCCUUUAUCAUCUCUAAAGACAACUCCUGUUGUGCCCCUAUGCUGGUCAUGAUCAAAAUAUGCAUGAACAUUCAGCUUAACAAAACACAUAGAAGGUUUAAUCCACCCCCCUCGUUUACUGGUUCCAUUAGGGGAGUUAGCGUUCACAAAAUUAUCCGUUAUAGCCUCGACCCCCAUGGAUGUGUGGCAUGCAUCUUUGAACUUUCCCUCAUGGACCAGCUUACACUGUCCCACCAUAGAUACCACGCGGUUAUAGCAAUCAUUUCAUGUACAUUCUGGAAUCCCAAAUUAGAUAAGUCCUAGUCUGGCAUAAGGAAUAAGAAGUCAAGUACCGCCUCACCCGCACGAUCAAUAGCACAAUCUUUUUUAAUCACCUCAUUCAUCCCCAACUUAUCCCAAGCCUCCUUUGCUUUCUAACAAAGAAACGGAACGUGUUUUGUAUCUUCUGGCCCGUUCAAACAUGAUGGGCAGAUUGGCGAAACUUUCAUGUGUCUAUUUGCAAGCAUAACACGACACGGGAGAGUUCCAUGCAAUGUAUGCCAAAUAAAAAUCUUGACCUUUUUGGACAUGAAAGUUUUCAAAUCUUACACCAGAUAGGGUUAACAUUGGUUCUACCCAUACCAUUUAUAUAUUGUAAGUUUCUCCCAUGUUGAUGAUCCCAUUCCGCCAAGUAAGCAUAUCGAACAAUGAACAAACCAUUUUUUAUAUAGCUCCAAGCAAUGAAAUCCGACAUAUUAUGCAUAGAGAGGAAUAUCUAGAACUCUUUGAGCAUCAAUUGGCAACAUUGUUUGCUUCACCAAAUCUUCAUCCCAAAAAUUUGUGACUGGAUCAAUAAGAUCUGAAACAUUGGACAUAAGGUGCCCUCCUCUAGAAGUAAUAAUUUUCCUAUUUGCACAAUUCGGGAUCCAUGCAUCUUUUCAAAUAUCGAUAUUCCGUUCAUUUCCAAGUCGCCAGAUAUAACCAUUUUUCAAUGAGUUAACUCCAGCCAUAAUGCCUUGCCACGUAACAAAGAGCCCCUUUUUAAGCUUGCAUUCAUCAAAUCGCCAACAGGAAAAUAUUUAGCUCUCAAGAGAAAAGGCAUAUAGAGAAUCUGGAUUAUUAAGGAGACACCAUGCUUGUUUAGCUAGUAAUGUUAGAUUUAAAUAAUGAAUAUCCCGGAAUUCCAUGCCUCCUUGAUUUUUUGGAACAUACAUCUUUCACCAAGCCAUCCAAUGCAUUGUCUUCCGAUUGUCCUCGUCUUCCUAUCAAAAUUGUGACAUUGCAUCAAGGAUUCCUUUGCAAAAAAAAGUUACGAAUUUUGAAGACGGACAUGACAUAGGUGAGGAUAGAUUGUACAAUAGAUUUGCGCAAAAUUUCCUUCCCUUCAACGGAUAACAUUUUUUCUUUCCAUCCAUUAUUUUUUUAAUAAUACAGUCAACCAGGAACUGGAAACACUCGCUUUUGUCCAUACCCAUGUUGGCAGGCAACCCUUAGUAUUUGUAACUGAGAACUUCAGUCAUAAUAUUGAGAAUCAAACAAAUUUACGUUGUCUUCCACUCUUUUGUCGGGCUAAAAAAGAUGAUAGAUUUUUCAAUACUCACCAUAAGGUGGCGGCACAAUAAGCGUCAUUUGAAAGCCUCCGCAUUCAUGGUAUUGACUCGCAUAAGAAUCAAAGAAUCAUCAGCAAAGAGGAGAUUCAAAAUCAAUGGGGCAACCUUUACUCAAGACAUGUUUCUAUUCUAGUAGUCCAGCCCUCCGUUGUUAUUGCGGAUGGACGCUUUAGCAGAUCCCCAAUAAUCUCAAACCUCCCUGGUCAUUGGAGGGCAUAUUGAGGGCAGGCCAACUCUCCCACCAUAUAGGGAAAGAUGAGAAUUUUUUGCUUCUUUUUCUUUCGCAUCUAUCCUUCCUCUUACUAAUACUCAUACAGAAUCUUCUUGGAAAUUAUAGCCAAUAACAUGUAUAUAAGCAGUGGUUUCAAAUUCAUUGGUCCCGCUACUAAUGUGAUCAUUGAUCAUUCAGCUACUGCCGGUGCCAGCAAUGCCAUCCCAUUUAUAACUAGGAAAGCUUAAGCCAUUCCCAAUAAACGCCAUACUGCAACAUCAAAUGUAAUACAGAUUCGCCGCUUCAGUCCAUGCCACGCUACAUUACAGACCUCAUCAAGGGCUCAAAGAGGCUCAAAGAGUACACACUUAAACAGUCGGUACAAAAAAUUUCAUCCUCAAUCGGCUUCAACAUUCGCUGCUAGGUACUAAGGUACUAAUCUACUACUCGUCGUCGUCAGUCUUGGAUUUCUUCUUCUUUUUCUUGGAUUUCCCCUCUGUGCCUGUCUUAGGAUCAACAGACUCGGCUUCACGGUUCUUCUUUUUCUUCUUCUUAGGGGUCUCAUCAUCGCCAUUGGCUUGCAUCUCCUCGUCCUUCGGCUCCUCAAGCUUGUGCUUCUUUUUCUUUUUCUUCUCGGUUCCAGUUUCAGCUUCUGCCGUGGCAUUCUCAACGUCCAUCGCGUCACCGUUAGCCUCAGCUUUGGACUUCUUCUUCUUGCUUUUCUUCACAGAUGCGUCACCAUUCUCUUUGCCUGUGAAUGAAUUUUUGGGUAGACAAUUAUGCUGGAUUGAUAAAAUAAAGUAAGCAAUCAGGAGAUGAACGAAAUAACAGAUCUAUCCUUACCGUCAUUAUCCUCUGUGUUUGUCAAGCCAUCAAUAGCAGCUUUCAUCACAUCAAGGUUCUUGCGGGGUGCAACACCCUUAUCAUAGAAGUCUAGCCUCUCCUCAACUUGUUCACGCAGCUUCUCGCCGAAAAUGGAGCUACUCAUAUCUGGAAUUCAUAACCCAGUGAGAAAACCAAUCAGAUAAGGGGAUCAGAAUGUGUAGCUUUAGCAAACAAAGCUCUUCAACUAACCUGAAUAGCAGUCAAUACGUGAAGCAAUGGAACAUUUGUUUGCAAGGUAUCGGGCCAUCCUUCCCUUGUUCUUGGUUGAUGCACGACCAAUAAAAGAUGAGUGGAAUAUGAGGCCAUACUUUGGUGUGUUUCCACGUGUUUUGAGAGCUCUGCGGUACAAUUAGGAAUAGGAAAUGAAUCACAAGGUUUCAGAGGCUUAAAGGACUAUUUUUGAAUACUUAAAAGAACAGUGAAUAAGAUGCUCGAAUACAUAAGCAGUACAAGUAUCAACUACCUAAAGAGCGCCUUUUCAGCACCCAGUAUCUGCAGAGUAGAUGCAGGGCAUUUUGCAAGAUUUGAAAGACUGCCAGCAUGAGAGAUUAGCCGGGCUCCAACCAUUUCACCAAUCAAUGACGUCAGGUUUGGUGCAAUAUCAUUCAUCUUUGUCACCAGAUACUCAUAGAGAUUUUUACGGUACUCAGAUAGAUUCAUGACCCUCUGAGCAAACUGUUGGACAUUGAUCAAAUCAACAGGUGAAAGAUCCUGGCCUAACAAUACAAAGGAGAUUGAGUAAGCCACAAUGUCACCACCCAAACUACAGAGAAGCAAAAGUAACUGUGGACAUAUUUGUUACCCAUAGAUGCCUUUGCUGCCUCAACAAUUUCUUUUGCCUUGUCUUCAUCUCCAAUUAGAUCCGCUAAAGCUGGAAUGUCCUUCUCCGACAAGUCAGAUUUGUUUACCACAAACUUGGCAAGCUUAGCAUAGAGGUAAUUGUCAUUCACAAUCUUGACCAGCUCAGGAAAAUGCCAUCCAUACCACUCCCUGCAUUAUAGAUUAACAGCCGUUUAAUAUCUGCACAACUGCCACCAUCAUCCAUGAUGGAGUAAUAUAUAGGUGUGUGGAAGGGGAGAGAAGGGCAUCUCACAUAGCCAUACCACUCCCUUCUAUUUGUAAUCACAUUAGCACAAAUAUACAUGAACCGAAAGCGUAAUGAACAAACGUGGAUUCAAACACCAAUGCCUUGAAUAUUACAGAUACUUAUACUAGAUACACAUUGAAACGAAAUCAAGGUGAUUACAAGUGCUGACACAACAUCUAAACUGAAGCAUAGAACAAGUUAAAUAACAGAAAGGGUGAGGAACCAACCUCACUCUCAUAGAGAAGGAAUUGACAUCCUUAUCAAGUGUAUCCAACAGAAAGAUAGCUUGAAUCACCAUAUUAUCCACACGAUUCACAUUGAACUUCACCUUGGCCCUGCUAUAGCUAUGUCCCAGACCUAGCUGGGCCUUCUCCAGGUCAGAUGGCUGCAACCGAAAAAACAAAAGGAAUAAAUAAACAAACAAGCAAGAAUGAAAUUAACACCGUCGAUACAUCUAUGGUGCACACAAAAUAGUUGCAGGCUAAUGAGCAGCCCUGCUACAACUUUAGUAUACCAUCAGCUAUAUAAAAAUCUGCAUAGAUGCCAUCCGCUCUGUAGUGAGCAAAGUCAUGCAAGAUCAGAUUUUUAAUUUCCAUGACUGUCGUUUAACCAGGACAAUUAAUCUGCAUAGAGGUUGUUUAACCUCUGAUAAACAACCAGUUAACAGGUGCUAACUGUGAAAACAUACCACAGCAACAGCGCAAGAUACCAUUGACCCUAGUACAGUCUGAACUCCCCAUCAAACAUACAACAGAAAUAGGCGCAUUAGUAAAUCCAUCACCUUGAGUUGCUCAAUGAAUUGAUCGAAAUGCAGCCGCACUGCACGAAGCAGUUCCUGGACAUAGUCGUUGGACUGGCAAGGGAUUCCGGUGGCCUCGGUGAUGUGGGACCCGACCUUGGGCUCCAUGACGCCGACGGUGAACUUGGCCUUCUUCCCCUCCUUCACCUUGGGCAGGUUGAGCUCCAGGAAGUUCCUAAGCUCGUCAGUCAUGAUCCCUGAACCAACAAAAUCAGCACCCACACAUCAUUGGGCCGUCACGGGAGACUAAAAGCAGGGGACUUGGCACGAGGACUCCACCAGGAGAGGAGGCGGGGGGACACGAUACCUUCGGAGAUGGCGUUGCACUGGUUGAGGGCGUCGACGGCGGAGAGGAAGGGGGUGAACCCGGCGAGCUUGACGGCCUUGCUGAACCGCUUGAGGUCCAGCACGGUGGAGCGGACGGCGUCGACGCUCUGCCCAAUCUCGUCGAUGCCGUGCGCGUGGAAGAGCGCGUACCCGGAGGCGGACUCGAAGAGCAGGUAGAGCGCCAUCUCGCCGCGCGCUUCGCCGGCGGCGGCUGAGGGGUUUGGGGGCGGAGGCGGGGGAGAGGUUAGGGUUUUAGGGAGAGGGGAAGGGGAAUGCGUUUCCCGGGGGGCAUAUUUAUGGUGGGUUCUCGUUGAUGCCUGGGCCGUUCGAUUGGAUCAAUGGUCCAUAUCGAAACCAUCUUUUUUUAAUCUAAUUUAAAAAAGGGCUGAACCAAACACAAUGGCGAUGAUUUGUGCCAUGCGUGAAAGAUGUAAAAACUCGUGAUUUUCUUUUUGCAGGGUUGUAAUUAUCCCAAAAUAUAAGAUUUGUUUGCAUUUUGACCUUUUAUAUUUUUUUGGUGUGCAUGUUUCAAAAAAUAUAUAUCUCCAAUGCGUGUUUUUUACUACAUUUUACUACGUGUCUAAAAGGCCCGCGUUACAAAGAAGUAUUGAAAUGUUUUUUUUUGUGGCGAGCGGAAAACUUUAAUUACUCAGACCCCAAUAGGAUUAUAAUCAUAAGUAGCAAACUUUAAAGCACGUGGCGGAGCUGAAUUUAACCAAGUCAUAAUUCUAGCGCAAACGUAGCUAGAAAGUCACUAACUUUAUUCUGGGAUUUGCGAACGUGAGUAAUACUAGUCUCCUGGAGAGACGUCAAAUACUUAAUCUCCUUCACCAGAAAAGCAAAGAUUGAUUUGUCAAUGUCAUAGUAAGAUAGACAUAAUGGAAUUAUUUCUACAUGCCAUAUUAGUGGUCGAAAAAAUAAAACUUGGUUGUGUGUAAUAAUGUGUCUUAUUUUAAGAUUGAUGGGGUAUUCAUGGGCCUAUUCGUUAUGUUUUCUGUAAAUUUGGAGCCAUGUCAAUCGAUACCAAAUAAAGAUUGUCACAUGGAAAGAAGUUUUAUUCGUGGAACGACAACUUAACUUAUAAUAAAAAUAAUUACCAAGUGAGCAACAAACAUUGGGUAUACAUCAUCACUUCACGGGGACUGAUAGCCGACUGCAAACCGCAAUCUAAUAUUUAGAGGUUUUCGUGAUAUAACACUUAACUGGAAUGAGAAACUUAGUCUAAAGUCCACUAUUGCUAGAGUUACAGGCAUAUAUGGUAUCAUGUGGUUGGCUGGUUGGAANNNNNNNNNNNNNNNNNNNNNNNNNNNNNNNNNNNNNNNNNNNNNNNNNNNNNNNNNNNNNNNNNNNNNNNNNNNNNNNNNNNNNNNNNNNNNNNNNNNNNNNNNNNNNNNNNNNNNNNNNNNNNNNNNNNNNNNNNNNNNNNNNNNNNNNNNNNNNNNNNNNNNNNNNNNNNNNNNNNNNNNNNNNNNNNNNNNNNNNNNNNNNNNNNNNNNNNNNNNNNNNNNNNNNNNNNNNNNNNNNNNNNNNNNNNNNNNNNNNNNNNNNNNNNNNNNNNNNNNNNNNNNNNNNNNNNNNNNNNNNNNNNNNNNNNNNNNNNNNNNNNNGUAAAAUGAGAGGCAAUUAUUGGGGAUUGUAGGGAAAAUGCCCUUAACCAUUCUUCCGAAAACACUUGUCCGUAAGUCUACCAAUUUCGGUCUAAAGCGAGAGGUUGUCGUGAUGUGGGUGCAGAUGAUGGUUGAAUUCUUCUCCACACAAGUGAUGUUUUUGUUAGACUUGUAUGAAAUUCCCGCUCGCCUUUUAUUACUUUUCUAAUGAUUUAAACGAUUUUGAAGAUGCACACCAGGCCUACCGCGUGGCACUCACCUUUUAUUAUGAAAUAAUGUCAUGCACCACUACAGAUCCAAAAUAGCACUGACCCCUCGUCAUUGACCGGCCCUUGACCACGCGUCACUGAUGAGAUUUAACACCGAGCGGCCUCCCAAAGGGUGUACCUUAGCACAAUCCGGUCUAGAAUUGACCGAUUAGUUAUAGAGUGUCACCAUGAUCAAAUUGGACCGACGGUAUUUGCUGACUAACCACUAUAUUUGACAAGUUUGUAUAGCGUGUUUAUUAUCUUACCCUUUGCAUUUCCACUAGCCAGUGUUGUUCUGUGUGUGGCCUGUUAUAAUCCUCCGUCCACUCCUUGUCUACAUUCCAUACCUUCAAUGUCACCAUCGAGUCCCACCUUCCCUUUGCCUCCCUCUUAUUCCUCCUCUACCUCCAACCGCUGAUCUAUGGCGGCAUGGAGUCUGCCUUUUCCUCUUCUAACAAACUUUCUGUCCCUAGUGGCUCAUUCUCGGUGAUAAUCAGAUCGUAUCUCUACUAUCGUUUGGACCCAAUAAUGAUCUUAGAUCUUGUAUCAAGGUCCCCUUGGAUGUUAUGGGACCUAGUUGUAAUUUUACCUUUUUGUGUCCUGUAGUGAGCUUUAUACCAUCCUUGUUGCAAAAUUAAUGAAGGCUCUGGGUCGUUCGUGAUCCUACCAUGUUAAAAAAAUCCAGAGGUCUUGUUGUGCAACUGCUUUAAGAAUGAUGGUGAGCUUUUUACAAUGGCCCUGGUAUUGCCCUUGUUGGGCAUAUGGGUAGUUCUUUCAUAUCCAGUGCAUGCAAUCCAAGGAUUCAAGCAUAGCUGAAACCCUCUUUGAUUCUCCAAGAGCUACUAGUCUUGCUGUGUCAUUUGGUUCACUCAUGUACCUUGGUUCAAACACUUUAACCACUACAGUAGCAAAUCUGAUUGUGACUUCGAGAUGUGAGCUUUUAGACAUCCGAAGAUCCUCGUUCCACGAAUCUGUGGUCGUGUCAUAAGCAAUCAUCCUCAUAGCAGUCAUGAACUUCUGGCAACUAGAUAAUCCAAUGCAGUCAACGACAUCCUUCUUCGGCUUGAAGAAAUCAUCAUAGGCCCUGAAACCUUGGUAGAUGCAUUGGAACACAUGUUGCUGCAUCCGGGAUCAACAGAGUAAAUAGGGUUCGAAUAACGCAUCGGGGGGAAGUAGUCAUCGUAUAACAUCAUAUGCUCCUUUGCCUUUCGCCGACUCCACACUUGAUGUCCCUUUAUUGAGCACUUGUAGUUGAGAACAUGCUCCUCUUCACACUCCGCGUUUUCAAAAAUCGCCCUCAUCAUCCUUAUCCAACGAAGAUGAAUCCAUAAACUCAACGUAGAAGUACUCCUCGUCUGAAUCCAUCUUGUUUGCUUCAAAGUAAACAACGAGAGCAUAAAAAAAUUGACCAUGACAUUUGUCUGAACACAUGUCAGGCAUGGUGUUCGCCAUGGACAAUGUCGGCAGGGCAGAGGGUUGUGAUACGUCUCCAACAUAUCUAUAAUUUUUUAUUGUUCCAUGCUAUUAUAUUAUCCAUCUUGGAUUUUUAUAUGCAUUUAUAUGCUAUUUUAUAUGACUUUUGGGACUAACCUAUUAACCUAGAGCCAGUAUCAGUUUCUGUUUUUUCCUUGUUUUUGAGUUUCGCAGAAAAGAAAUAUCAAACAGAGUCCAAUUGACCUGAAAAUUUAUGGAGAAUAUUUUUGGAAAAAUAUAAAAAAUACUGGAACAAAAAGAUAUCGAAGAAGAGUCCCGAGGCCACCAUAAGGGUGGAGAGCGCGCCCCCGUCCUUGUUGUUGCCUCAUGGGCCCCCUUGACUUGUCCCCGACACCAACACCUCCUAUAAAUCCCAAAACCUCCAGAAAUAAACCUAGAUCGGAAGUUCAGCCGCCGCAAGCCUCUAUAGCCACCAAAAACCAAUCGGGAGCCCGUUCCGGCACCCUGCCGGAGGGGGAAACCAUCAUCGGUGGCCAUCUUCAUCAUCCCGAUGCUCUCCAUGACGAGGAGGGAGUAGUUCACCCUCGGGGCCGAGGGUAUGUACCAGUAGCUAUGUGUUUGAUCUCUCUCUCAUGUUCUAUAUUUGGCACGAUCUUGAUGUACCGCGAGCUUUUAUUACUAUAGUUGGAUCAUAUGGUGUUUCUCCCCCUCUAUCUUCUUGUGAUGAAUUGAGUUUUACCUUUGAGGUUUCACUAUUAUCGGAUUGAAUACUAUUAUGGAUUUGAGAACACUUGAUGUAUGUCUUGCGUGGGAUACCCGUGGUGACAAUGGGGUAUUCUAUUGAUUCACUUGAUGUACGUUUUGGCACUAAACUCGCGGAUUCCCGAGGUGACAUUGGGGUAAUCUAUGCAUAGGGUUUGAUGCACGUUUUCGUCCUUGGUUCUCCGGUAGAAAUCUUGGGGCACUCUUUGAGGUUCUUUAUGUUGGAUUGAAUAUUAUGGAUCUGAAGUUGUUAGAUGCAUAUCGUAUAAUUGACCCACGGAUACUUGUGGUGACAUUGGAGUAUCUAGGUGAUAUUACGGUUGAUUGAUGUGUGUCAUAUGGUGUUAUUUUACUACGAACUCUAGGGUUGUUUGUGACACUUAUAGGAAUAACUUAAUGGAUUGAUCGGAAAGAAUAACUUUGAUGUGGUUUCGUACCCUACAAGCAAUUUCAUCUUAUGUUCUCCGCAAUAGGAACUUUGGAGUGACUUUUGCCGCACGUUGAGGGAUUGCCAUAUGAUCUAAUUAUGCUAUCAUUGUUGAGAGAACUUGCACUAGUGAAAGUAUGAACCCUAGGCCUUGUUUUCAAGCAUUGCAAUACCGUUUUCGCUCACUUAUACCACUUGCUACCUUGCUGUUUUUAUAUUUUCAUAUUACAAAAACCUUUAUCUACCAUCUAUAUUACGCUUGUAUCACCAUCUCUUCGCCGAACUAGUGCACCUAUACAAUUUACCAUUGUAUUGGGUGUGUUGGGGACACAAGAGACUCUUUGUUAUUUGGUUGAAGGGUUGUUUGAGAGAGACCAUGUUCAUCAUAUGCCUCCCAUGGAUUGAUAAAACUUAGGUCAUCCACUUGAGGGAAAUUUGCUACUGUCCUACAAAGGUCUGCGCUUGGAGGCCCAACACGAGUCUACAAGAAGAAGGUUGCGUAGUAGACAUCAGGUUGUUGGGUGGCGACCGAUCCAGGGUGUGGCGGCGUAGGCAAAGCCGGACGAGCAUCUAGGUGAAGUGUCGGAGGUCCAGCCAGGCCUAGGAGGCGCCCGGGAUGGUACUGUUGGAAUUUUGCCUAUUUAUGGGCCAGCCCAAUAACUAUUUCAGAAUUUCCUAAUAAAUCCUAGAGGCCCACUUAGCCUAUUCGUGCAAGGCAAGGGGCACUACUAAAGUUUAUUCCCACAUUGCUAGUUUAGAGGGAGUUGGACCUCUUUAUAAGGGAGGUUCUUUCUCCACAUGUACAAGCAUGAGAACAAGAGGGACACCCCACGCGCGCUCCUCCUCCGUUGUCCGCCUUGCCACGCCACGCCACGCCAUGCCUCGUCACGACGCGUCGCGGGUUGCGGGAAUGAGCCGAGCCGAUGUCUAAAUUUUUGCCACGCACGGCGGGUAUACGAAAGGUCACGCGGGAGCUGAAACGUUUUCUGUAGUGGACACUGAAUCCGAACAGCGUGCCUCUUCGGCUGAAGUCCGUUCAUUUCGUCUCCCUCUUUUGCUUCAUCUCCCGUUGCUGUCCUCUCGCCUCCUUCUCUUGCGCCUAUAAAAUGGAGGUCGCUCCUCUCAGAGAGAUGCACCAGAACUUCUUCUUCCUCUCGCCGCCGGCUCCAAUCUCUGAGAUGCUACUAUCUUCCUCAUCCCGGCUUGCGACAUGCACCGUAGGUCGGGACAGUAGGCCUCCGAAACUGCACCUCUUGAAGUCCUGUACAGGAGAAGGGUGAUAAGGUUUUUGGGGAGUGCUCCACACGACUACUGACUUCUUCGUCACGGACGCCCCGAACUCCGACGACUACUUCCCCGACGACGACUUCUUCCUCGACAUCGACAACCUUCUCGAUGACAUGGCUGGCAAGGACACCAACCCCAAGGCCGGUGCUUCUGCUCCCAUUCCAUACGUUCUCAUACUCUUUCUGUUGGAGGUUCUGUCACAACUUCUUGCUCUAGUGUCUGUUCUAGAUGUGUUCGGUUAUGGUUCAUAUAUGCAGAUGUUAUUUACAUUCUCUCUAUCAAAUUGCAUGACUUGCUUUGUCUCUGCUAUAUUUUUCAUGCUUUAUCUAGUAUUUACAUUAAUAAAAUUAUUCGGUAAAUUUCUCAUAUUUCCAACAAUCAACAAACCUUAUUAUAGGCAAUUUACCCCAAGUGGUUUUGCUGCUUCCUUGAGACCUCCUAUGUUUGAGGGUAUCCACUAUAAGAGGUGGUGCGUGAGAGCCGUUAUAUGGCACCAUGAGCUACUAUGACACCACUCUUGGCAAACCUGAAGGAGAAUAUGAUGCUCAAUAGGAACAAGCUUUUCAGAAAAUGGAUACCUUGUUUAAGGCUGCUCUCUUGAGUGUUCUUGGUGAGAACAUAGUUGAUGCUUAUGCGUCAAUUGUUAAUGGAAAAGAUAUGUGGGACGCACUCGAGGCCAAGUUUGGGGUCUCGGAUGCUGGCACUGAGUUGUACAUCAUGGAGCAAUUCUAUGAUUAUAGGAUGACUGAAGAGCGCUCCAUGGUUGAGCAAGCUCAUGAGAUACAGUCAUUUGCUAGAGAACUUGAGCACUUCAAUUGUAUUCUAGCGGACAAGUUUGUUGCCGGAGGUAUCAUCACUAAGCUUCCUCAUUUGUGGAGGAACUUUGCUACCUUACUGAAGCAUAAGAGGCAGGAGUUUUCCAUUCCGGAUCUCAUUGGUACUCUUGAUGUGGAAGAAAAGGCGAGAGCAAAGGACAACCGUGCUCGAGGUAUUGAGGGAGGAUCUAGUGCCAAUCUGGUACAGAAGAAAAACUUCCAGCCCCACAAGUUCAAGAACAAGGCCAAGUUUGAUGGUAAAGCAAAGUUUGAUGGGAAGAACAAGGUUGUACAACACACAAACUUCAAUAAGAAGAAUGACAAGAAGAAAGGUGUUUGUCAUGUGUGUGGAGAUCCUGAUCAUUGGGCUCCUAGUUUCCCUAACGCUAUGACAAGCGUCAUCUUGGGAAAGGAGGCAAGACUGCUAAUGUUGUCAUUGGAGACACUAACAUGAAGGAUGUUGGGUAUGGUAUAUUUCCCACUAUUCUUUCAGUAUGCCAUUCUCCUGAUUGGUUGAUGACACGGGCGCUAAUGUGCAUGUAUGCGGUGAUAUUUCCAUGUUUUCGUCUUAUAAGACUACCGGGACUUCCACCGUGCUGAUGGGCAAUGGUUCAAGUGCUUCUGUUCAUGGUGUUGGCACAGUCGAUCUGAAGUUUACUUCGGGGAAGGUCAUGCGGCUGAAGAACAUGCAUUAUGUCCCCUCCGUCAAUAAAAAUCUUGUUAGCGGAUCUCUUCUGUGUAGGGAUGGCUACAAGCCUGUCUUUGAGUCAAAUAAAUUUGUAAUAUCCAAGUAUGGAACCUUUGUUGGUAAAGGCUAUGAGUCAGGAGGCUUGGUUCGUUUAUCCUUAUCAGACGUUUGCAAUAAAAUAAAGUUGUCAAUCAUGUUUGCAACAAUAGUGAAUCAAAUGUGUGCAUUCACAUCUUUGUCAUGUUAACUUUGGUUGCAUGUCGCGACUAGCGAAGUUGAACUUAAUCCCUAGUUUCACCACUGUCAAGGGAUCUAAGUGUCAAGUGUGUGUGCAAGCUAAGCAACCCCGUAAGUCUCAUGUGACUGCGGAAACGAGAAAUCUUGCACCACUAGAGCUCAUACAUUCAGAAAUAUGUGAAAUGAAUGGUGUUUUGACAAAAGGUGGAAAGAAGUAUUAUGACGCUAAUUGAUGACUCCACUAGAUAUUGCCAUGUGUAUCUUCUGAAAUUUCAGGAUGAGGCUUUGAACUAUUUCAAGAUCUAUAAAGCUAAAGCGGGAAACUAACUUGAUCAAAAGAUCAAGAGGCUUAGGUCCGAUCGUGGUGGAGAGUAUUUCUCAAAUGAAUUUGAUUCCUUCUGUACAGAACAUGGUAUAAUCCAUGAGAGGUCACCUCCCUAUUUACAUCAGUCAAAUGGGGUGCCGAAAGAAAGAUCCAUACUCUAACUGAUUUGGUUAAUGCCAUGUUAGACACAUCGGGUCUCUCCAAGGCAUGGUGGAGGGAGGCGAUAUUGACGGCAUGUCAUGUCCUAAACCGAGUUCCCACAAAGAACAAAGAGAUAACUCCAUUUGAGGAAUGGGAGAAGAAAAGGUUAAAACUCUCUUAUGUACGAACCUAGGGUUGUUUGGCGAAAGUCAAUGUGCCAAUUCCAAAGAAGCGCAAACUUGGGCCAAAAACUGUGGAUUGUGUUUCCUGGGUUAUGCUUUUCAUAGCAUUGGUUGUAGACUCUUGGUUAUAAAAUCUGAGGUACCUGACAUGCAUGUCGGUACGAUCAUGGAGUCGAAUGAUGCGACUUUCUUUGAAGAUAUCUUUCGCAUGAAGGAUGUGGCUACCUCAUCUAAUAAGGAGAUGCCUAGUUCAUCGAAUCAGGAACCAAUUAUAAUUAUUGAACCUACCAUUUCGAUGGAACACUUUGAAAAUCCCGUGGAGGAGAACAAUGAAGUUCCUACUAGGAGCAAGAGAUAGAGGACUGCAAAGUCCUUUGGUGAUGAUUUGCUUGUCUAUCUAAUAGAUGACACUCCAAGUACUAUUUCAGAGGCCUAUGCAUCUGAAGAUGCUGACUACUAGAAGGAAGCGGUCCAUAGUGAGAUGGAUUCCAUCUUGGCAAAUGAAACUUGGGAGAUAACUGAUCGUCCUUAUGGGUGCAAACCUGUAGGGUGCAAAUGGGUAUUCAAGAAGAAACUUAGGCCUGAUGGUACUAUUGAGAAAUACAAGGCAGGACUCGUGACCAAGGGUUCUACCCAAAAGGAAGGUUAAGAUUUCUUUGAUACUUACUCACCUGUGGCUCGACUGACCACUAUUCGAGUUCUACUUUCACUUGAUGCCUCACAUGGUCUUCUUGUUCAUCAAAUGGAUGUUAAGACUGCUUUCCUAAAUGGAGAGUUGGACGAGGAAAUUUAUAUGGAACAACCAGAUGGGUUCAUAGUAGAUGGUCAGGAAGGAAAAGUGUGCAAGUUGCUGAAGUCUUUAUAUGGACUUAAGCAAGCACCCAAGUGAUACGUCUCCAACGUAUCUAUAAUUUUUGAUUGUUCCAUGCUAUUAUAUUACCCAUUUUGGAUGUUUAUGGGCUUUACUUUACACCUUUAUAUCAUUUUUGGGACUAACCUACUAACGGAGGCCCAUCCCGAAUUGCUAUUUUUUUUGCCUAUUUCAGUGUUUCGAAGAAAAGGAAUAUCAAACGGAGUCCAAACGGAAUGAAACCUCCGGGAGCGAUCUUUUUGGAACAAACGCAAUCCAGGAGACUUGGAGUGGACGUCAAGAAGCAGGCGAGGCGGCCACGAGGCAGGAGGGCACGCCCUAGGAGGGUGGGCGCAUCUCCCACCCUCGUGGGCCCCUCGUGGCUCCCCUGACCUACCUCCUUCGCCUAUAUAUAUACACGUACCCUGAAAACAUCCAGGAGCACCACGAAAAACUAUUUCCACCGCCGCAACCUUUUGUAUCCGCGAGAUCCCAUCUUGGAGCCUUCGUCGGUGCUCCGCUGGAGGGGGAAUCGACCAUGGAGGGCCUCUACAUCAUCUCCAUGGCCUCUCCGAUGAGUUGUGAGUAGUUUACCACAGACCUUCGGGCCAUAGUUAUUAGCUAGAUGGCUUCUUCUCUCUCUUUGAAUCUCAAUACAAAGUUCUCCUUGAUCUUCUUGGAGAUCUAUUCGAUGUAACUCUUUUUGCGGUGUGUUUGUCGAGAUCCGAUGAAUUGUGGGUUUACGAUCAAGUUUAUCUAUGAGAAAUAAUUGAAUAUCCUCUGAAUUCUUUUAUGUGUGAUUGCUUAUCUUUGCAAGUAUCUUCGAAUUAUCAGUUUGGUUUGGCCUACUAGAUUGAUCUUUCUUGCAAUGGGAGAAGUGCUUAGCUUUGGGUUCAAUCUUGCGGUGUCCUUUCCCAGUGACAACAGGGGCAGCAAGGCACGUAUUCUAUUGUUACCAUCAAGGAUAAAAAGAUGGGGUUUAUAUCAUAUUGCAUGAGUUUAUCCCUCUACAUCAUGUCAUCUUGCUUAAUGUGUUACUCUGUUCUUAUGAACUUAAUACUCUAGAUGUAGGCAGGAGUCGGUCGAUGUGUGGAGUAAUAGUAGUAGAUGCAGAAUCGUUUUGAUCUACUUGUUGCGGACGUGAUGCCUAUAUACAUGAUCAUGCCUAGACAAUUUCAUAACUAUGCACUUUUCUAUCAUCUGCUCGAUAGUAAUUUGUUCACCCACCGUAAUACUUAUGCUAUCUUGAGAGAAGCCACUAGUGAAACCUAUGGCCCCUGGAUCUAUCUUUUAUCAUAUAAGUUUUCCAUCUACUUUUAUUUGCAUCUUUUACUUUCCAAUCUAUAUCAUAAAAAUACCAAAAAUAUUUAUCUUAUCUUAUUAUCUCUAUUAGAUCUCACUUUUGCAAGUUUCCGUGAAGGGAUUGACAACCCCUUUAUCGCGUUGGUUGCAAGGUUCUUGUUUGUUUGUGUAGGUGCGUGGGACUUUUGAGGAGCCUCCUACUGGAUUGAUACCCUGGUUCUCAAAAACUAAGGGAAAUACUUACGCUACUUUGCUGCAUCACGCUUUCCUCUUCAAGGGAAAACCAACGCAGUGCUCAAGAGGUAGCACCAAGCCGUGGCAUGAGAAGUUUGAAAGAACUUUAACAGCUGCAGGCUUCAUUGUAAAUGAAGCUGAUAAAUGUGUGUACUAUCGCCAUGGUGGGGGCGAGGUAGUUAUCAUUUGCUUGUAUGUUCAUGACAUACCAAUUUUUGGAACAAAUCUGAAUGUUGUUAAGCAGGUCAAGGAUUUCCUAUCUCGCUAUUUUGAGAUGAAGGAUUUAGGAGUGGCUGAUGUCAUUCUGAACAUCAAGUUGUUGAGAGACGAUGAUGGUGGGAUUACAUUGUUUCAAUCUCACUAUGUGGAAAAGAUCUUGAGUCGCUUUGGCUAUAGUGACUGCAAGCCCUCUCCAACACCAUGAUGCCAGUGUGUUGCUUCGAAAGAAUCUAAGAAUUGCUAGAGAUCAAUUAAAAUAUUCUCAGAUUAUUGGCUCGCUUAUGUACUUAACCAGUGCUACAAGACCCGACAUCUCUUUUUCUUUUAGCAAACUGAGUCGGUUUGUCUCAAAACUAGGAGAUGUGCAUUGGAAAGCUCUAGAGAGAGUUUUGCGUUAUUUGAAAGGCACUAUGAAUUAUGGAAUUCACUACACUAGGCACCCAAAGGUGCUUGAAGGGUAUAGUGACUCAAACUGGAUCUCAGAUGCUGAUGAGAUAAAGGCCAUGAGCGGAUAUGUAUUCACUCAUGGAGGUGGCGCUGUUUCUUGGAAGUCUUGCAAGCAGACCAUCUAAAUGAGGUCAACAAUGGAAGCAGAACUCACAUCACUAGAUACAACUAUGGUCGAAGCGGAUUGGCUUCGUCGGCUCUUGAAUGACUUGUUGGUAGUUGAGAAACCUAUACUGGGUAUCCUUAUGAACUGCGACAAUCAAACUGUGAUCACAAAAGUGAGUAGCUCAAAGGAUAACAUGAAGUCAUCAAGACACAUUCGGGGAAGGUUAAAGUCUGUUAGAAAAAUGAGAAACUCCGAAAUUAUUGAGGGAGUCCUGGAUUAAGGGGUCCUUGGACAGCCGGACUAUUAACAUGGGCCGGACUGUUGGGCUAUGAAGAUACAAGACAGAAGACUUCUUCCCGUGUCCGGAUGGGACUCUCCUUUGCGUGGAUGGAAAGCUUGGUGAUUCGAAUAUGUAGAUUCCUUUCACUGUACCAACUUUGUAUAACCCUAGUCCCCUCCGGUGUCUAUAUAAACCAGAGGGUUUAGUACAUAGGGCAGAAUCAUAAUCAUAGGCUAGACUUCUAGGGUUUUAGCCAUUACGAUCUCGUGGUAGAUCAACUCUUGUAAUACUCAUAUUCAUCAAGAUCAAUCAAGCAGGAAGUAUUGUAUUACCUCCAUAGAGAGGGCCUGAACUUGGGUAAACAUCGUGUCCCCCGCCUCCUGUUACCAUCGACCUUAGACACACAGAUCGGGACCCCCUACCCGAGAUCCGCCGGUUUUGACACCUACAUUGGUGCUUUCAUUGAGAGUUCCGCUAUGACAUCGAAGAUAGGAUUGAUGGCUCGCCUUAUUAUCAAGGACAACGUCACCUCCGGAGGAGCCCUGGCCUCAGGCCAAACCCUCCGGCUGGCUGGCUUCACUAUGACCGCCUGUUCAGCCGUCAGGACGACGAUGACUUCUCGGGUCAUCGAAAAUCGCCUUCGCGUCAGCUCAGAAUACUCCAAACAGAUGGAUCCGAUGGAGUUGUCGUCUUUAAACGAACUCUUGGAUCGCGUCGCCGCCUUGGGAGUCGCUACAAACUACGAUCGGAUUGGGCUUAAACCCGAUCAGAGAGAAAUUGAAUCUCCGCUGAUCACCCAUCAGAUAGCGGUAGUGGAGGAGCAAUACGACAACUCUUCCUCUAUAUUGAGUACGAACUAUGUUCGGAUUUUUGAGCUCACAGAGCCGGAUACCCGCCCGCGGGAAGACGUGCCCCAUACUCCGAACCUAGAGUCGGACUGUGGGCCUGAAAAAUUGGUUGAUAUCCCAGAGCCCGAACUGUUAAGCUCGGAAGUUUCUCAAACUCCGGAUCCCAGAUUGGGUCAGGAUUCAGACUCAAAUCAACCCACCCACCCAGAUACACGCGAUCUUACCCACAUCAGACAACAGUCUCAAGAAACAGUCCAUCACUUUUGGGCCAGAUUCCUCCUUGUCAAAGGCAAGAUCAAAGACUGCCGCAAUCAAGACGCAAUCUCAUUAUUCUGCAAAAAUUGCACGGACAAGGGAAUCCUCAAUGCCAUCAACCGCCGACACGUAUCACACUUCGCUGACUUCGCAACCAUAGUACAGAAGUACUGCGCAAUGAAAAGCGCAUGGAAAACUCAGGCAGCCUCUUGGGAGCCACUGGUUUCCACUCAAUCCCUCGUCCGAACAAAAAGGAUGCACCCUCGUCAGUCGCCCAAGCCAAUAGUAAAGAAAUCAAAGCCCAUUACGGGGCACGGAACCGUUCUAGAGGGAUGGCUCGAUAGGCCAUGCAAAAUACAUGCAACGCGGGAUACCACACCAACCCACAUCCUUAGAGCAUGUUGGAUACUCCGACAAGUGGCCAAGAGCGGCGAGGACCUCCUCACCAAAAAUACCGCAGAGCAACAUCCCACAGAAGACGACGACUUCAGAGUAUUGACGGUCUUCGAUACUUUCACCUCAAACAAUAGGCGGAAAAGGGCACUCUGCAGCCUCGCCGAGGUUUGCCAUGUCGUAGCAAUAAACCCCUGGAACGACAUGGCCAUAACUUUUAAUGCCAGUGAUGAACCAAAAUUCAGGACAGUCCGGGCACCAGACGCAUUGGUCCUCAGUCCGAUCAUGGAUGGCUUUUGGAUUACCAAAGUGCUCAUGGACGGCGGUAGCGGACUAAACCUCAUUUAUGAGGAGACUCUCAACAAAAUGGAAAUAGACAUGAGCCACAUUGAACAAAGUAGCAAGACCUUACGAGGAAUUAUUCCUAGUCGGGAGGCGUGAUGUGCGGGACAAAUCACACUUGAUGUGGUAUUCGGCACGCCGGAGAAUUAUCGGUCCGAAGAGAUAACCUUUCAAGUGGCCCCUUUCAAUAGUGGAUAUCACGCCUUAUUAGGGUGAGAUGCAUUUGCAAGCUUCCAAGCUAUACCCCAUUACGGGUACAUGAAGCUCAAGAUGCCCGGGCCCAAUGGUAUUAUCACUCUUGGCAGCGAUACAGACAUAGCAUUCCACGCCGAAAACAGAACCGCAGCCCUGGCCCUCGAGGCGUUGUCUGAAGCCCUCGCGGUCGAAGAAUUAACCGUGUUGCGCUCCAUGGUGGAUAGGGACGACGUGAUCCUCGAUAAGCGACCCAAAUCCACCUCCUUUAAACCAGCAAACGAAAUAGUCAAAUUCCAAGUUCACCCAACGGACUCCACGAAGACAACAUCCAUCGGGGCACAGCUGGACCCCAUGGUUGACGCUGCACUGCGGGCGUUCCUACGUGAAAACUGGGACAUAUUCGCCUGGCACCCUUCUGAUAUGCCAGGGAUCCCACGUAGGCUGGCCGAACAUAGCCUAAACAUACUGAAGGGAUAUAAGCCAGUCAAGCAAGCAUUGCGGCGCUUUUCCGAACCCAAACGACAAGCCAUGGGGGAGGAGCUAGCCAAGUUACUCGAGGCCGGAUUCAUCAGAGAAAUAAAACAUCCGAAUUGGCUAGCAAACCUGGUAAUGGUACCUGUCGGUGUCAAAACCGGCGGAUCUCGGGUAGGGGGUCCCGAACUGUGCGUCUAGGCAGAUGGUAACAGGAGACAAGGGACACGAUGUUUUACCCAGGUUCGGGCCCUCUUGAUGGAGGUAAAACCCUACGUCCUGCUUGAUUAGUAUUGAUGAUGUGUGUUACAAGAGUGGAUCUACCACGAGAUCAAGGAGGCUAAACUCUAGAAGCUAGCCUAUGGUAUGAUUGUUGUUCGUCCUAUGGACUAAAGCCAUCCGGUUUAUAUAGACACCAGAGAGGGCUAGGGUUACACAAAGUCGGUUACAAUGGUAGGAGAUCUACAUAUCCGUAUUGCCAAGCUUGCCUUCCACGCCAAUGAAAGUCCCAUCCGGACACGGGACGAAGUCUUUAAUCUUGUAUCUUCAUAGUCUUGGAGUCCGGCCGAUCACGAUAGUUCGGCUAUCCGGACACCCCCUAGUCCGGAACUCCCUCAGUAGCCCCUGAACCAGGCUUCAAUGACGACGAGUCCGGCGCGCAUGUUGUCUUCGGCAUUGCAAGGCGGGUUCUUCCUCCGAAUAAUUUAUAGAAGAUUGUGAACACCAGGAUAGUGUCCGGCUCUGCAAAAAUAAAUUCCACGUACCACUGUAGAGAGAAUAAUAUUACACAAGUUCAAUCUGCUGACGUAUUUUGUGGCGUGACGUCACACCACUACCAAGCCUUUACUCAGAUUGUUUUUAUUGUUCCACCUCAGCGCGUUUAGCGAAGCGGUUUCCUUGGCACGUCUUGUCGAAGCAGAGAUCGUGUUCCCCUUAUUCCGGGAUUCCCAUCAAUACGGACGUGGGUAACCCAACCGCGCCAUUGAUUGUGAUGCUUGGGAGAUAAGCGAGUUUUACCAGGCCGGUGGGGACACAUGUUUUUGUCCGCCCAUAUAAGGGGAUAAAGAUCCAACCCUUUUACCUGCGCCUUCUUCCUCCUUGGCUUAUGCAUCUCCGCGAACUCGAGCUCCAGCGCCCAAGUCGGCACUUCUCACCUCAACCUUCUCCAACUAUGUCUGGAGCAGGAGGCAAGUGGAUGGCCUCCUCCGUCACGGAGGAGCAGAUCCAGAAGCUGCGCAACGCCGGAUAUUUGUCCAGCAACAUUGCGCACCGGCUCCCCGACGAGGGAGAGCUCAUCCCCACCCCCAGGCCCCAUGAGAGGGUAGUAUUUCUUCCCCAUUUCCUCCGCGGACUGGGCUUCCCACUUCAUCCCUUCGUCCGGGGACUCAUGUUCUACUACGGCCUGGAUUUCCUUGAUCUGGCCCCGAAUUUCAUCCUCAACAUCUCGGCGUUUAUUGUCGUGUGCGAGGCCUUCCUCUGCAUCCAGCCCCACUUCGGCUUGUGGCUUAAGACCUUUAGUGUCAAGCCGAAGGUUGUGAAGGGCAGCCAAGCAGAGUGCGGAGGCGCCAUGGUGGGCAGGAUGUCCCACGUUACGUGGCUGGAGGGCACUUUCGUGGAAACCAUUAAGGGGUGGCAAUCGGGGUGGUUCUACAUCACCGAGCCGCGUGACCCUGAUUGGGCAGCGGCCCCCGAAUUCAGAUCCGGCAUCCCUACAGGGCUCACCUCCUGGAAAGAGAGUGGCCGGAUCUGGGGCGAUUCGGAGGAGCUGACCGGACUCCAAGCCUGUAUCCAAAAGCUGGUGGACAAGAAGCUCAAGCUUGUCAACAUAGUCCAGGUCAUGCUCAUCCGCCGGAUUCUCCCGUUCCAACGAUGGGGUUUCAACAUGUGGGAGUUCGAUCCGGCGCAGCACCAGACCCUGAGCGGGCUCUUCGACACUACGUAUGAAGAUGUCUGGAAGGUGCUGUUCAAGGGCGCCGAGGCUCCCGCAUCCGCUACCGAAGAUCGCGGAUUCCACUCGCAGCAUCCAGCUGACGAGGUAAGUGAUUUUGCCACUUGCUUUCCAUAGUUUGACUCUAUGCGGGAUCUAAACUCCCUUUACCUUUGACAGGACUGGCUGGCAAAGGCCGAACGGACGAUCUGUCCGGCCCCAUUGCCAGAGGACCCAGCUGACGCCCGCCUAACGGGGCUGCUGGCUCCGGCACCCCAUGUGGUGCCAGAGAAGAAGGCCAAGAAGAAGGCCACGGGGACUCGGAAGAGUUCCCGUUUUCAGGUGCUAUCGGAUGAUGAAUCCGAGGCCGACUCCUCCCACCAAGGCGAGGAGGAGAAGAAAAAAGCCUCUCCCCCAGCGGGGGGAGGGAAGAAAAGGAAGGCCUCCCCAACAAGGGAGGCCGAAGGGUCCAAGAAGGGAAAAACUCUUCCCCCGGACUGCUCUGCCAACGCCAGUGACGACGACGAGGACUGGCCUCCAAGGGCCAAGCCCCUGGCGAGAUCGUAAGUAUCCGGACUCCCGAAUAACUUCAAGGUUUUUCCUUUUCGCCACAUAAUGUCUUUCUAAUGCCGCAUACAACCCUGCAGUCCGCCCAAGGAUGAUCUUCCCGCUUCAUCGAGCGGGUCCUUGGGUGCGUCGGAUAUGGAUUCUCUUCCAACUGCCUCCACUCCCCGUGACGCGGACGAUGCCGAGGUGGGAUCCCAGGAAGGGACCCACCAGGAGGAGGAGGCCCCGGAGGUGUCGCAGGACAACCUCCCGGACUUUGCACCGGACUCGGCUCCGGAACCCACAGUGGCUCCGGAGUCCGGCGGGCGCCCCCUUCGUAAGAAGGGCAAGACCGUGACGCCGGCAGCCUCUGUCCAACCAGAGGCGCCGGAUAACUUGCUGGAGGCGCUCAAUGGCGCCUCCAUUGAAGAGGAACACCGCACUGUUAUGAGUGCGGUGAUUCAGAAGGCAGGCUUUGAGGUAAGAAUUUUGAUAUAUGUAAAAUAGUACCGCAUAGACAGUAGCCCCUGAUGCUCGGUUCAGUGUUCGAAAAGAAAAGCCGGACUGAGGAUCUUAAGAAGAUAUACGCAGGAGUCAUAAAAAAUAUGUCAAUAUGGGAUUGCAGGCUGCGCUGCUGACCUUUGCCACACUGAAUGCGGAGGUCAAUACUUUGAAGGAAAGCCUUGAGCGGUCCGAGAACGAGCUCGGCCGUGCCAAGAAGCAGCUCGAGGACAAGGAAGGUGAGUAACACCUUAUUAAAAUUGUACCUUACAGAAAAAGAUUUUGGUUGCAAAAAGAAUGACAAGGAUAACAUGGGUAUUGCAGGGGCCACUAACAAGGUGGCGACCCUGAAAGAGGCGGUGGCUGCGGCCGAACGCAAUGCGGCCGCGGAGCGCACCGAGCGAGAGAAGCAGGAGGCGCGGGUGGCGGAGGUACAACAAGAGCUCCAGGAUCUCAUGAAAAAACAUGAGAGCCUGGAGCGUGACUCGAAGACUCGAGAGUCUGAGCUUGCAACGGCUCUUGAGAGUGCCAAAGCCGCUAAGGCCGAAGCCUACAAGGCCCUCCAGGAGAUCGAGGCGGUGAAGAAGAUAGCAGCGGGUAAGGCAUUUUUCAUGCAAAGUAAGCAUGUGAGUGUUAAUUACCUGUUGCUUACCCGAAUUCAGAGCUCUCCAGGAGCGUUCGCAGAUCUUCCUCGCAGCGUGUCCGAUGCUGCCGCAUUCUACCGGGUCGAGGAGGGGAGCUCGACGGAGAAGGUCUUCCGGUCUCAGUAUGCUGAGGCCGGACAUCCGGUGCCCCUUAGCGACCAGCUGAAGCAGCUGGUCGAGCUCCACAAGGCGGCCGAAC